GAUGACAGAAUAAGUUAUUUAAAAAUAGCUUAUUCGCUACAAGAAUUUUUUAGUAUGAUUAUAACCGGAAAGUUUGAUUUUUAAUUUACUUCUUGAACGGUUUUAUUAUUCAUGGUUUUAUAGAAUAGUAUUUUUUUCACUUACAAGAUAAUUUAUUUUUAAAAAAAAAUAAUAACUUGAGAACUGAAUAUAAUUAUUUAAUUUUAAAUAUUUGAUCACACUUCUUAUCUUCUAAAUAUACAUCUAAAUAGAACCUAAGAAAAAAAGGGAAAACUUUAAAAACCCCGCAUGUGGUUUCGCACUUUCUCACUUUAGUAUCCUGUGGUUUAAAAUGUAUCAAUUUGCCCCCCUGUGGUUUUAUUUUUAUCUUUUUGACAGCUUUUUUUCUUAAUUUUUCGUUAAAUUAUAUACAAAAAACUUCAGAUUUCCAAAUAGAUUUAUCGAAUAUUUAUUUUUAGUACCUUUUAAUUUUAACUUUGUCACUGAUUUAAAAAAAAAUAAAAUAAAAUUGAUAAUAAAAAGAGAAAAACGAAACCAUAGGGGAGGACAAAUUGAAACACUUUAAACCAUAGGGUAUUAAAGUGAGAAAGUGCGAAACUACGGUUUUUUUUUUUUUUUUUUAAGUUAUCCCAAAAAAAAANUCUCCGGCUUCGUCGCCAUGGCCGCCGCCCUCGCCACCCUCGCGACCCUCGUCCUCGACUUCCUCGCCACACAGUUCUACGAGCGCAGCGAAGGACGACGAGGAGCGCUCCAUCAUAACGGCGGCGCCGGAGCCACCCGUGGACGAGGACGAGGACGAGGGCUCCGCCAAGGGCGGCAACGCGGUGCACAUCGUCGGGAUGAGCACGCACGCGGCGGUACACGGCCACAGCCACUACCAGGGAUAUAUUAGAUAGACUUGUUACAUAAAAAGGGUAUAUUGGAAUGGGCAAAAUGGUAAUUUUUUAGAGAUAACGACAGCUCACUAACGGAACUUAACUCCAGGGGUAUAUUAGAAAGACUUGGAACAUAGGAAUGGUAUUUUCAAUAUUAGCCUUCUAAGAGGGUAAAUAAGAAAACCGAAAAUUUUUCAGAGGUAAAUAGCCAAUUGCCCCAUUAUAUUAUAUUUAUAGUUAUACGCAAUCAAAAGCCUUCUUAUUAGAAGACAAAAUGCUAGAGAAGAUUCCUGCAUUCAUAAGAACCUAAUAAGAUUUAUUAAAGCCAGUGAAUGAAUACCUUUAUGAUGAUUAACAACUAUUUUUUUUUCACCCAUAUUUCAUUAAUGCCAACAAAUAGUCAACAUUACUAUUAUUAUCAGCUUCAAGUUUUGAGUGCCGCCUUAAACUUUCACGGACGGAUUAGGUAAGCAAAGGCAUCAUUACGACUCACACGCGGCAAAACAUUUUGGCAGACAUAAAUAAAAGCAGCUAAGGGCUCCAUUUGGCCGCUUGUACGGUAGACUGCAGCAAGGGUGCGGCUUUAGGAAGGGAAAACUUUAAAAUCCCUCCGGUGGUUUCGCACUCUCUCACUUUAGUAUUUUGUGAUUUAAAAUAUAUCAAUUUAUCUUUUUGCGGUUUUGUUUUUAUCUUUUCGACAAUUUUUUUCUUAAUAUUUCGUUAAAUUAUAUACAAAAAACUUCAGAUACCCACCUAGUUUUAUCGAACAUUCAGUUUAGUAACCUUUAGUUUAAACCUUGUUACUGAUUUAACAAAAAAAAAUAGUAAAAUUGAUAAUAAAAAAUAUAAUAAAAUUAUAGGGUAUAUUUUAAAUUAUAGAGUAGUAAAGUGAGAAUGUACAAAAUUACAGAAGUAAUAUUUGAAGUUUUUCUAAAAAAAAAGAGAAAAGCAUGACUCCUCCUCAGAUCGAUAGUGAAGUGUCGAAAGUAAAAGUUUUAUAAAAUGAAGUCUUAUUAGUUAUUUUAUUUGCGAAAGUAAAAAUAAAAGACGGUUUGUAAAAAUAGACCGAUAAAGUGAGUUGUAAUUAUAUCUCACUUUUUUAAUUUCGGCUGACAAGAUUUUAAAGUGAAAACCUAUGUUGUGUUUUGAAACAAGUGAAGUGAAAAGUUAUUUUUAUAAAAAUAAUUAUUUUUUUUUAUUUCAACAAUUUUUGGGCAACCAAAAUUGUCCUAAAAAUCAAGGGACCGGCAUGCUUUUUUGUGUUUUGAAAAAUUAAAGUUUAUGCUGUUUCGACCGUAAAUUAAUUACGAUAAGUAUUUUCUUUUAUGAACAAAAAUUAAUUUUUUAUUUUUAUCCAAACAAGCAGGAUCUUAGUAUGAAAUGCCUCUCGAAUUUGAAUCUCAUAGUAUACACAGUAAGCUCCUAAGCUUAAAAAAAAUAGUAUACACAGUAAGCUCCUAAGCUUAAUUUUUUUGAUCGACAUACUCUAAACUUUUAUUUUUUUUUUCUAUUUAAAUUAUGCUAAUUAAUUUAAUUGAUAAUUUCGUUCGUUUUAAUAGACCUAAUAACUAUUAGAUGUUAAUUAUUCAAAUUUUAUUUGUUAAAAAAUAAUUAAUUAAAAAAUUAAUAACACUGGCAGGUUAAUUUACUAUCAUCUGAAUGAUACAUUCAAUAUCGUUAAUAUAGCUCGCUAAAUUAUAUUUAUUUUUAACAGAUUUAAAGCGUUAAAGGAACUCGAACAUUCUUAAUACUGACCAAAAUUUGGUGGAUUCCUCUUCUAAUGAAAUAUGCAUUAGCAUUUGCUCCUACACGUAUUCCGAUAUAUCACACAAAUUCGUUUCUAUAUUAAUAAUAUACGAGAAUAAUAUUGCGAAAACGUAUGUUGAUUUAGAUAGGCCAGCAUUCUAUCUACUUGGCACAAAAAGUCGGAUUCGAUCCAUAAGUACCAUGUUUGUAUAUUUAUAAGUAAAUUUUUUGCAUUUUUCUAAACAACUUUUAAAAUUAUUAGUCAUAUAUGUAGUAUUAUAUUAAAAAAUAGCUAAAAUAUAAAAAAUUCUUUUAUAAAUAUUCGCCUUUUAACUUUUCCUCAGUAAUUUUCAAAAUCUAUAUUUUAACCAUUCAAAAUUUUAAGUUGAUGCGGUAAAGCCAUUCUAACAAAAUUCCCUCACCAUUUCGUUUAUUUCUUGAAAAUAACAGAAAUAUGUUAAAAAAAAGAUAAUUAGAUCAUUUCGCUAUCUUCAUUAGCGUAAUGGCCGAAGUUUUUAGGCUUACAAUAAAAGAGCACUAAUGGCCGAAUAAAGCCAAAAAAAGAAGAAAUAUUUACAGAAAGUUACCGAUAUCAUUGUGACGAUCCGGCCAGCUAGCAAUAGUAACUUUACCGAUCCAAAAAAAUUAAAUUCAAUUAUUAUUACUAGUACGUAAAGCUCAUAUAUUCUAAUCAGAAUUAAUUUUGUAUCCAAUAUGAAACUAUUUGGACAUUAUAAUCAUGGUCAAUGAGAAAUAAAAACGAAACAGUGCGUGUGAGUAGGAAAGGGCGGGAAUGCGGCCAAAGUGAUGUAAAAGUUGGUGGGUCUGCAGUCUGCACCGGCAGCAGGAAGCUCUCUAGCGUGCAGGUGUCAGAAGAGCUUUCGGUGGAUGCCUUGUUUCUUACUUUCUUACCCCCCACCCCCCUCUAUUUUUUAUUUUUCUUUUUCUUUUUCAUUUUCUUUUCUUUUCUUUUCUUUUCUUUUCUCUGUGUGUGUGUGUGUGUGUGUGUGUGUGUGUGUGUGUGUGUGUGUGUGUGUGUUUUUUGCUGCUCCUGCUGCUGCUGGUGGUCGACGAGGACCGACUGCUGUUGGCUGACGCUACUUUCCCUGACGGAUGGUGGGUUUCUGUCGGAAGGCAUUUUCUGAGAAGACGAUGCCUUUUCGUACCUCGUCACACGAGAUGACUGUCAAACCAUUCGACAGAACGACUGUCACUUUUCCAACCUAAAAUUGGGCAGGCGAUGCCCAUCUCCAACACCCCCCUGCACUGUGCAUAAACACGAUUUUGCCAGCGCGGCUUUUUUUCAUUUUCUUUCUUAAUAUUUCGUAGGUGCAAAAAUUCUGCAUACAAUAUCAAAGAUUCCAAUAUAUUUACUAUCACUGCAUACUAUACAAGUCAAUCUGUGCAUAAUAGUUUAUAUGCGGAUACAUCACUCACUUACGAGGACUACUACGUUUUGGUAUACCUCUCUUUCUAAAAAUAAAAUAUUUUGGAUCUCAUAUAUUAUCUAUCUAUAUAAACUGGUGCAACUGUCUAGCGGCCUAUACUGUAUAAGUCAAUUUGCGCAAGCGAGCAUAGAACUUUAGAAUCGUAGCUUGGGCCAAACGGUUAAGUCCGAACCGGCCCGAAAUUCUUAGUCCAUAUUUUUGCGGCCCAUCUCGAAUACGGGCCUGUUUGGCUUUGCGUACGUUUAGACUUCCACAAAUGGUAAAAACAAUUCCAAAGGAAACCAACAUCUAUACCUGGAUCUACUUCAUAUUUAUUCUCUCCAUGUAAAGAGUUAAUUAACAAGAUAAAAUCAUCUGCAGGGUUAAAGGAUUAUUACCACCGAUGUUACCUGGAAUGGAAUUUGUUGUGGUGCAUAGUACGGGUUUGGAAUCGUAGUUUGCUAGUCCCUGUUUGGGUCGGGUGUAAUGAACAUUGGGAUAAAUUUUUUUAUUCCUAAAAUAAUUUACUAUUUCGGAAUCGUCAAGAAUAAAAAUAAAAUUUUGUUUGGUUUAUAAUGCAGCUAUUCCUAGGAAUAAUAAAAAUUAUGUUUGGUUAAUUUUAUGAAAUAAUAGAGAAUAAUGAAAAAGGCGACGGUUGAAUUUGAUAUAAAAUAUAAUUUAAUUAAAAAUAAUUUAUUAUAAAAAUAAUUUAUUAUAAUAUAUAUAUAUAUAUAUAUAUAUAUAUAUAUAUUAUAGAGUCAGCUAUGGUCUUGUAAAGCACCAAGCACUUGGUGCUUGUAAGUGUUUACCGUUAGAUCUACUUCUCAGAUCAUUUUCAACCAUUAGAUUAUACUAUUCAACCAACCACCACUCAACCCUAGGGGGCCCACAUCAUCCUAACGCAUAUCUCUUAAUCCAAUGGCAAAAAUCUACAAGCACCAAUAACUUGGUACUUCUAAAAAUAUAGGAGCUAUAUUUAUAUAUAUAUAUAUAUAUAUAUUAUAUAUAUAUAUAUAUUAUAUAGGCCAUGCCUAAUACUAUUUUGAGUAUUGGGGCCCUCGUCUCAUAAAUUGUUUUCGAUAAUAGAGCUUCCGAAUCGACGAUCCAUGUUAAAAUAUGAUCUAGAGUAUUUGAAAUUGUAGAAAAUAAAUUUCGUAAAUUUUCGAAAUCAUAAUAAAGUCCAUCAAGUGGGCAUAAAAUGAACGGUCAAAAUCAAACGACGUUCUAAAAAAAGAUGAUCGGAUCCUUCAAUUCAAGAUCGGAGUUAUUGAUCUUUAUCUAUAUAGUGAAUAGAAUUUUCUAUAAAAAAAUCAACAAAUUCCGAUUCUUUUACACCGUUAAACGAGCAAGUAUCCCAUACCAGCCGUUAAAAAUUGUCAAAUUUGUGACCUCUUGAUCGUAAGGUAAAUGAUGUCAAAAAAUUAUAAAAUUUGAUUUCUAGAAGUUUUAAAUGCUGUAAAUAACAUUUAACGGUAUGAAUUGUCGAUUCGAAAGCUCUAUCAUCGAAAACAACUUAUGAGUACGAGGGCAAUCGUACUCAUAAUAGUAUAGUAGCCGGAUCCUAUAUAUAUAUAUAUUUAUAUUGAAUUCUACUUAAACUUAAAUUUAAUAAUAAUUUAUUAUAACUUUUAAUUAUAAAUAAUAUGUAUUAAUAUAGUAUAAUUAAUAAUUUUAUAAUAAAAAUAAUUUAUUAUAAUAUAUAAUAUAUUAUUUAUAUAUAAUUUAGUUUUAAUUAAAUUUAUAAUCUUAAUAAAGUUUGGAAUUAAAGCUUGUAAUAGUACUAUUCCGCCAAAAGGAUUUAAUAGUUAAUCCCAAGCUAUUUCGGGAUAACAGAGGAUAACAAGGUUUGACCAGAAUAAAAUACUCCGAUUCAAAAAAUACCCCGAUUGGUGAAAUAGCAGGGAUAACGAAAGUUAUCCCCAUUUUAUUCUCCAAUCAAAUGGGGCCUUAGAAAUACAAUAUGAGGGGGGAAGGAUUAGUCCGACAAUUGUUCAGAAAUAUGAUAGUAGUCCCCUAGGGUUGAGUGUGUGGUUGGUUGACUAGUGUGAUCUAACAUUUAAAAAUGAUGAGAGCGGUAAAUCUAACGGUAGAAAAUUCGGUAGCGCCAAGCACGUGGUGCUAUUGAUAGUAUCCCAGCCAGACUCUAUAUAAGAACUACGCUAGAAUACUAUUAAUAGUACCAAGAAUUAGGCUAGAAUACUAUUAAUAGCACAAAGUCAUUGAUGCUAUUAAGUUUUCAAUUCUUGGAUGAAACGAUAUAUGGUUAAGAAGAUAAUGAUCCCCUAAGGUUGAGUGAGUGGUUGAUUGAAUAGUAUAAUCUAACGGAUGGAAAUGAUCAAAGGGGUUGAUCUAACGUUUGAAAACUUGAUAACACUAAAUGCUUAGUACUAUCGAUAGCAUUGUCGGACACUGUAUAUAAAAUCAAUAAUUACCUUUAUUACAGUAUAGUUUUCUUUUUCAGGAUCGAGUGCUCUCUCUUCUAAUCAAACUCGCCUCAUCUUUAUUUCCAUUAAGCUCAAAUUGAGUACUCUCUCUUAUAACCAAAGAAGCCUCAACUUUUUCCCAUACAAGGUAUGACUCUUUUGUAAUAUUCUAUCUAGUAAAAUAUAUUUCUUUAGGUAACUAAGCAAAUUAAAUUUAGAAAAAACAAAGUAUCUCUCUACUAUUUCGAUUCACCGCUUUUUGUGAUCAGGAUCAAGAAUCCCCCACGAAUCGUUAACUAUGAUCGCUACCAACCUGUGCUAUUUCACUUCAAUCAGUACUCUCUCAUGUAUUUUUUUCCUUUUUACUUCCUCUGCAACUGCUCUGUAAUUACGCCCCUUCAUUUCGCUCCAAGUGCAGCUUUGCGAAAAUUAGAGCCAUAGUAAAGCUUUACAAACCAACCUCAAGUAAAACCGAAUGAUCCGAAAAUCAGAAAAGAAAAACAGGCAAGAUAUUCACAAACGACCGAAAAUAAAUAAGGUGAGUAGAUUAAAGCUUCACCAUUCGCAUGACAGAACAUGAAAUUCAAAUGCAGACUAUACGGAGCCCUGAAAAGCGCCUUUCUGGUAUUGCACUGCAGAAGUUGCUCAAAAUAUCCACAUUUGCCUUGCAAAAUUUUUCUAGUGCACCAUUCUGAAUUAUAUACCCGGAUCCAGCAAGAACAUCAGAGUCUCAUGCAGAUGCAGUUAUUAGAUUUCUUUGAAUCAAAGAUGCUUCACCCGAUAUAUAUGAUGAAAGUUUAGAAACAGUGUGACAGCCCAGCUCGCUAGCACCAAUAACUCAAUGACUCGUUUGGCAUAGACUACUAGCUCCGAAUGCUUAAGUCUAAUUAUUAGUUCUAGGGUGCCCAUCACAUAUAUAACACUCACACUCUCACACAUUAUUCUAUGUGGGAGAUGUGAGACUAUUAGGGUGUCGCAUGCUUUCCUCUAUUUAGAUCAUGACGUCCUCGUCUGCUGGGCUCCAAUCACACACAGUCCAACAUUUGCCAGACAAUGUGAGACCGCAUCUCACGCAUCCGGCAGGUAAUCUGGUUCUAAUACCAACUAUAACGAAUAAGCCCGCUAGUACUAAUAACUCGUUGGGUUCAACCAACUAGCCCAAAAUAUUUAAGCUCAAUUAGUCCUAAUGUGCCCAUCACAUAUAUAAUCCUUAGACUUUCCCAUAUGAAGACGUGGGACCAUUGAGGUGUCACAAACAGUGACAGCUUAGACAUCACAACAAACAAAAUCAUAUCUCACUCUGUUGAUUCAAGAGCACAAGAAAUGAAGAAAGUGCCAUUUCAGAAGGAACGAGCUAACGCUGCAAAGCUCUAUCGAAAGAGACAUGACUAUUUACACCAAGAAGGUUCUGCAGUAUAUAUAGUCCACCUCAAUCACCAGCACUUUGGAGGCAACACUCUGGCCGAAUCUCAACCUACAUACAGUUCUGCAGUACAUAUAAUCCACCAUCUCAAUCACCAGUACUUUGGAGGUAACACAGUGGCCAAAUCUCAAUCAACAGAUUGAAAAUCUCAUGAGCUAUUCAUCUGGUUGCAUUGCCUAACACGAUAAACGAAGAACAUAAUCUUCUAAGAAUGUCCAAAAAAUUUUGCCAAUAGGCUGACAUUUUCUCAAGAAUGCAUCUAUUAUAUAUUACGGACAAAUUCAGUUUGAAAAUAAGUACCUUCUGUUCUCACCACAGUUAUUAGAUUGACUAUAGGUUGCCAAUCAGCCUCGACUGUUGAUAGAUAAUGAUAACUUGCUUCUCAACAGCGUGCUAUGUUUUUUUUUUUUUUUUUUUUUUUUUUUUGAUUGAUCCACGGCCAUAUGUUAAUCAUAAGAACUAGAGAUGCCAAGUAUUUUUAUAGCUGAAGAAGUUCACUAGUAUUAACAACUUGGCAAACAAAACUUUUUAAGCGUGUAGGCCCAAAGGUACUAAUACCACUUUCCUGUCCCUUUGUAUUUUAACCACAUUUCCUAUUUCCUUUAUUUGAGAUAAUUUGGGGUGUGACAAACACCUCCUGUUUAACCCUCCUAUGUUCUCAUGAGGUGUAUACACACAUUCUCCAAUACAAUCCUAAAAAGCAUCCUUGUUGUGUUCAGGAGGCGUAACAAACCACCAAAUACAUUUUGUAUCCUACACCACUAGAAAGCACAAAUAAGUGACCAAUAGAAGUGAAAUAAUACCAUAUAAAGCACGACUAGCCCACAUUAUUAGCAAAUCUUUAAUUAUCCUAAUGAAAAAUUCUUACGUCACUAACACUAACAUUCCAGUCCUUACACUAUAAGACCAUUCUAUUAUCUUGUGAUUUUGAGUUCUUUGGGUUGUGACAAUUCUAAGAGAGAGUAAUAAAGACUAUCCAUGAAUUUGAAUUGCAAUUGGUAGACUGAACAACAGUUUCAACAGGCUUCAUGGUUUUUCUUGACCAAUUCAUCUAGGAAAUCGGCUAAUUGCGUAAAGGAUAAAACCGGACAUGAAAAGAAAAACUCUAAUCGAAGUAUUUUCAUCUAAAAUCCAAAGAGUUUUCAAAGCUCACUGGCCAAGUCAUUCACUUUUUUCAAGAGCAGCAGGCGCUCAUGAGGCUCCUAGAGGUUGAUUUGUUACGAAGUCCUUUUCCUGGAUACCAUCUUUUGCUUACUGAUUUACCAACACACCUUAUCCUAAAGUGCUUAUGUUAGGCUUUGUAAUGGACAAGCAGGUGAAUUUGACUCGAUCAAGUUUGCUGUAUGAACACUGACGGAGGUUAAUGUAAUUGUUCUGUCGGUAACAAAAUAUGCUCUAGUAAUAUCACUGCAUUGCUCUAACUAUAAGCUGUAAAAAAUACUCCGCUCGUCUGUUAGUAUACAUUCACAUUUAUUAGAUUGCAAGCGACAGAACAGUUAAUCAAAUACUAUUUUUUCAUCAGAAACAAAGUAGCAAACAAACCAAACAUUACAUUACCGGUAACAGAUGAAAAUACAAAGAAAAUGCAAGGACUAAUUGCGCUUUCAUUUCAUUUGUACAUGGAAAAAGCUGGGACAUUUCACAUGAUAAAUCAAAGAAGAAGAAGAAGAAGCAUAGAGUCUCAGCAAUUCUCUACACCUAUUUAUACAUAGAGCAACGAAAACUAACCUGAUCACGGGCAAUGGAAGUGGAAGUAAAAGAUAACCGCAUCGUCAAAAUCGAAUACGAGAUCUCCUCCUCACUCAAAAAGGAUCAGAAGAAUCGGCCAAAAAUAAAUCCAAAUCGGAGCAAACCCAGAUCCCAAAUAAACGAAUCUAGGUCAAAGGAGCCGAGGAGGAGCUCUCCCACGCCCCAUCCCCCCUUUCCAUCUUCUUCAGCUGCCACCGCUUAAACACCAAGAACCCCACGAACCCCACCUGCAUGACAAUGGCGAUCCCCGCGAACAGCAACCCGACCUUCUGCCCAUUAUUGAGCCUCCGCUCCUCGCGCGGCGCCAUCGGGACGAGGGGGCNAGGCGAAGGGGAGGGGGAGGGGGAAGGGGAAGGGGAAGAGAGGGUGAGGUAGGGGGAGGCGAGGAGGAGGGCGAGGAGGAGGUUUAGGGUUACCGUUCGUGGCUCGAAGGAGGGGAUGGAGGUAGGGUUAGGGUUAGGGUUAGGGUUAGGGUGAGGUUUUCCGGCCAUGGCGCGGCGGCGGCGCUCCGUCUCUCCGGGGAGCUGAGCCACAUAAAGGAAGAGGCAGCGAAUUAUUAUUAUCUUUAACUCUCUUGAGUGAGUGAGAAAGGAGAAGAGAUCUGAGACACAGAAGAGGAAACAAACUGAGUUGAGUGGAGACUCACUGGAGAGGACAUACUACUUGGUAGACCAGUUGUGCCAACUCACCUCUUGGUUUAACCAACGGAAGUUGGCCAAUUGGCACUCCACGACAUCUUAAUUUUAGUUAUUAUGAUAAUAUAUAUAAAAUAAAUAAUAAUAAUCAAUGAUUUAAAAAUCCGAUGGACGAACUACUGUAGCUUAGUUUAUAAAGCGGUCCGGUGUAAUCCUUUGAACGAGAUAAAUUAAGGGGGUGUUGGGUCUACCUUCUAAAAAGCGCUUUUGGGCUGAAAAGUGAUUUUCGGCUCAAUAGGGUGUUUGACAACUCACUUUUAAAAUCUGAUUCUACUUUUUAAAAUCGGAAAACUGAUUUUGAAAGCUCCAGAAUUAGAAGCAGAAAAAAGCUGCUUCUUGAAAUCUGAUUCUGAUUUUAAAUUUAAACUUCAAAUUUUUAUUUUUAUUUUUAUUUUAAUAUUUAAAUUUAAAUUUAAUUUUAACUUUUAAUUUUCAGAUUUAUUUUUGAAUUUUUAAAUUUUAACUUUUAAAUUUUAAAUUUUUAAAAAUAGAUUUCAAACUUUAAAUUUUAAAUUUUAAUUUUUUUGAAUUUUUAAAUUUUAACUUUUAAAUUUUAAAUUUUUAAAAAUAGAUUUCAAACUUUAAAUUUUAAAUUUUAAUUUAAAAUUUCAAAUCUCAAAUUUUAGAUUUUAAAAUUUAAAAUUUAAAAUUUAAAAUUUCAAAUUUAAGAUAAAAUUUCAAAUCUAAAAUUUGAGAUUUUAAAAUUUAAAUGUAAAAAUUUAAAAUUUUUAAAUUUUAAAUUAUAAAUUUUAAUCUUCAAAUUAUAAAUUUCAAAUUUUUAAAAUUAAAAAUUUAUAAAUUUUAAUCUUCAAUUUUUAAAUUUAAGAAUUUAAAUUUUAAAUACUCGAAUUUUUAAAUUUAUAUUUUAAAUUUCAUAAUUAUUUUUAAAUUUUUAAAUUUAAAUUUAAAUUUAAAUUAAAUUUUAAUUUUUUAAUUUAAAUUUAAAAUUUAAAAUUUAAAUUUUUAAAUUUAAAUUUGAAAUUUAAAAUUUAAAUAUAUUUUUAAAUAUAAAUAUUUUAUAUUUUAAAUUUCAUAUUAUUAUUUUUUACAUUUAGAUUUUAAAUUUUAAUUUUAAAUUUUAAAUUUCAAAAUUUAAUUUUAGAUUUUAAAUUUUAAAUUUUAAAUUUUAAAUUUAAUUUUAGAUUUUAAAUUUUAAAUUUUAAAUUUCAAAUUUAAUUUUAGAUUUUAAAUUUAAAUUUAAAUUCUAAAUUAAAGUUUGAAUUUAAUUUUAAUUUAUAUUUUUAUAUAUUAAAAUUAAUAUUUUAAAAUUCAUAAUAUAUAUAUUUUUAAAUUUAUAUUAUUAUUUUUAAUUUUUAAAUUUCAUUAAUUAUUUUAAAUUUUAAUUUUAAAUUUUAUUAUUUUUAAAAUUAAUAAUUGAAAAUUUUUAAAUUUUGUACAAUUUUGAAAUUUAAAAGAUUUAAUUUUAAUUCAAAUUUAAAUUUAGAUUUUAAAUUAUUUUAAAAUAAAAUUUGAUAAAAAUAUUAAUUUAUGCCAACAUAAAAAAAAAUUUGCCAAACAGCUUUUCAAAAUCAUUGUAGAAAAAUCACUUUUAUUUAAAUUCCACCAAAUGCUUUACAGCUUUUAACCAAAAUUAUUUUUCCAAACUAAAAUCACUUUUUCAGAAAUUACUUUUUCAGAAGCUAGACCAAAUAGGCCCUAAAAGUUUUUUGAUCCGUACAUGCUGACGGUUCAUCUAAUCGGGGAAUUAACCAAGUCAUGUUGAAAUUCAGUGGCUUAAGAUUAACUAAGCUAUUUUUAUUUUCUAUUAGAAUAGAUGAGCCUUAUAAAAAAAGAGUGAAACAUGAAAACUUAUAUUUACUUAAUUUGGUCUAGAAAUCGGUAUUUUAUAAUUAAGGAUGAUAUUUGAAUAAUAAUAAAGAGUAGGUCUUGUGCGCUAUUAGGAGCACGGAGGCCUCCUUGCUCCUAAACCGUUUUCGAUGAUGAAGUUUUUGGAUCGACGAUCGGCUCCGUUAGACUUAAUCUAGCAUAUUUGAAGUAUUUAGAAAAUAAAUUUUGCGAUAUUUCGAUAUUAUUUACCUAGUGAUCGAAGGGUUUAAAAUCAACAAUUUUUAAUGGUUGAUGUAUACCGUUUACAAGUUUAACGGUGUAGAAGUAUUCAAAACAAAUAAAAUUUUGAUAGAAAUUUCUUUAUACUAUUUACAGUAAGAUCAAUGUCUUUGAUCGAAAAUUUUAGUACUAUAUCACCACAUUUUGUGAGAUUUUUAUUUUCAGCCGUUGAUUUUGAACCCUUUCGAGCGUUAGGUAAAUGAUAUCGAAAAAUCACAAAAUUUAUUUUCUAGGUACUUCAAACACGCUAGAUCAAGUCGAACGGAGUCGAUCGUCGAUUCGGAAGCUCCAUCAUCGAAAACGGUUUAGGAGCACGGAGGCCUCCGUGCUCCUAAUAGCACACCAGAGGUACUCUAUAUAAUAAAAUUUAAAAAUAAUAAUUAAAUAUUUAUUAUGUAAUGCUGAUAUUACUAGCUCGAUCAGAGGUUGACCCACCCAUUUGCUAAACUAGUGACUCUUGAUUCAAUAAUAUUUUCAGGUAGUUGUUCAAUCUGAUUUUUGAUACAUUGAUGAUAAUUUGAAAGAUUGUGUCACAACUCAUAAUAAGUAGAUGUUUGGAGGAUAAGGCUUGGUUUAGGGUUGAGAUAUCUAAAUUCAAUUUUUUUGUACUUUGAAACAUAUGAAAAUUUAAUAUAAAGAAUUUUACUAUGUCCGUGCACACUUCUGUGGACUUAUAUAUACCAGUCAUGAGAUUUUAAAACGCUACGUGAUAUUCAUGUGAAUAUAGAUGAAUAUCGUAAGAUUCACACAGAUAAGAGUAAAUGAUGUGGAUCCCAUAUUAUUCUAACUAAUAAAAAUAUGUAUGUAAGAUUCAUAAGGUAUAGCAUUUUUUUAUUAUAAAAUGCAUUUGAAAGUUGCCACUUAAAAAGAAAAGCUGUUAAUAACAUCAAAGGAGAAAAGAUUAAAUAUGCUUUAGGAUUAUUAUUAUUUUUUUGUACAUUUGAAACAUUGCAAAUCCAAACUAAAUCUAUAUUGUAUUGUAUUAUAUUGAUUAUUAAAUUUUAUCGCAAUUAUGUUUAGGUUGUUUCGUAUGUAGAAGGAAUCCAUGUUUUUCAUUUCUUUCAUUAGCUCUUGUGUUAAAUGCACGAGAUGAUUUAAUUUCCACCACAGAAGUUAAACUAUGACUCAAUCUAUUAAGAAAAAACUCGAGGAAUUAGAUAUUAUAUUCUGUCUUAAAAUGAUUUUUUUCAUAAUAAAAUAAAUUACUUUGUAGGUAAAAUAGUAUAUUCUAACAACUCGUGAAUACCAAAAUCUUUUAAAAAAUAAAAAUUAAACCUCUAAGAUUGAUUAUUUCACAUAUGCCCUGCUUGGAACUAUUAAUUUCAUCAAUACUCUUCUAAGAUUAAUAAUAUCACGAAUGCCUUCAAAUAUAUAAAAAAUUAUCAUAAUACCCUCCACUAAGGUCCGUUAAAUUUCCUCUAAAAUGGAAUUAAAUUUUCAAAAUCCCAUUUUACCCUUUAUCUCUUAUCAAUAGUAGAAAUACUAAUAAGUAUCUUAAGAUAAUUUUAUAAAUUUAAAUUUGACUAUUUAAUAUACUAAAUAUUAAAUUCAAUUAUUAAUAUAUAUUAACUAUUAAAAAAUAUAUAAACAUUGUAUUAUAUAUAGUAUGUUUUUAUAUAAUUUUGGUUUUUGUUUUUGGCUUUGGGUUUCGAUUCAGGUUCGAUUUGGAUAUACAUCAAGAUCAUAAUUAAAUUUGAAUAUAAUGGAACUUCAUUUUUUUUUGUACCUAUAACUGGAACUAUCCUUACUCAGCAUCGAUUAAGCUCACCUCAUUCAAAAUCGAGUUCGGAUAAAAUUGCAUAACUAUAUCAAUUUACAUUCCUAAUUAGUAAUAGUAAUUUCGAAAUAAAUGAUAGAUUUAUUUUUUUUUCUAUUUAAUCAAAAAUAAAUCACAUAACUAUACGCAUGCAUUUUUUUAUCACUUGAAAAGAAAGAGAGUUUUGUUCGAAAGCUCAAAUAUAUUAUAUUUUAGUUUUUUAAUGCAUUUAACGUAAAUAAAAUUAUUGAGAAUUAUUUUGAGUAAAAAUAUUUUUAAGCUACCAAGAUUAAAGAAAGAUUGGAAAAAUUCUCAACUUUUAUUUUUAUUUAAAUUUUUAUGCAUAGUUAUUUAUUUGCUAAAAAAUAAAUAGAGCCAUUAUAUUUGGUGAAAUCAUCAAAAACCUUGAUAAAAUUUUCAUUUUUCAUACACUAAAAUUAGUUAAUUUUUUUAAAAAAUUAAAAGUUAAUAGGAUGUCAAUUAAAAGAGUAACAGUUUUAGGAACCAUUUCAAAACGACAUAUAGUUAAGGGGUCUCCAUACAUUUUUACUUAAGGGAUAGUUGUGGGUAAAUAAGUCAUUUUAAAAGUUAACUCAUCUUUAACCAUUUAAUAACUAUAGUAAAGCUAGCAUAACUAAUGGUAGGAGUAUUGAUGAUAAUGUUCUAUGUUUAUAGGGAUAUAUGUAAUAUUUUAAAUUUUAUAGGGGCAUAUAUGAUAUUUUAGACUUUGGGAGGGAUAUAUAUGAAAUUGCCUCUAUUGAUAAGAGAUAAAGGUUAAAAAUGAGAUUUUGAACUCCAUUUUAGAGGAAAUUUAAUGGAUUUUAACAAGUAGAGGGUAUUUAUGAUAAUUUUUGAUAUUUUGGAGGGCAUUCGUGAUAUUAUUAAUUUUAGAGCAGUAUUGAUGAAAUUAAUAGUUCCAAGAAGGGCAUCUCUGAAAUUAUCCCAUAUUUAAAUUACUUAUUCCCAUAUCCAAGCAGGUCUUUGGAAAGAUUAUGUGACAGGAGGAGAGCGAAGGGACAGAUGAGGUAACUUUUAAAUGGCGUUUUGGAGAUCAGAGAUCCGACGGUGUAGAAAGGUUUCAUCUCAAACGGACGGUUGGAUGAGAUUUUGGGCCCGAGAGAGCUAACGGGCCUGUUGGGCCGAGCGUUUGCGGGUCACAUUGCGCGGCCUUUUGAGAAGGAUUAAUUACACUUUACUACACUAUAUUUUAUAUAUUUUUUAUUUUUAUACUAUAUUUUUUUAGGACUUUUUUGCGUUUUGCCGGUUUGCCCUCUCAAAUUUUUUUUUUUCACAAAUAGCCUUACAAAAUUUAUAUUUGCAAGAUUAGUCCUAUCCCCACCAUGCAAGCACCUUGCGAGCAUGUUGGAUGGUAAAAUUAAGUUGAACAUAAUAAAUCAUUCACUGUGUUCAAUUUAUAGCUCGCACUUAGUGUGAAGUUCAUCUCAUACACCGCAACACUAAAAUCCAAAAUUAGGGAAGGCGGGACGGAUAUGUAUGAUCGAUAUUCAUGGGGCAGGUCUCUUGCAUGCAUUUCAGUCCGCUGCAUUUACCUUCCCACCGGAAAAGUAAUCCCACAUGAAAAACUUAAUUACGAACCACUAGCUUUUAGCUCUCUUUUUUUNACAAAACCACACACACACACACACACACAAAUUACGAGCUCAAUUUUGCAAAGUAGAGAGAGAGAGAGAGAGAGAGAGAGAGAGAGAGGGGGGUAGCAUGCUACCUGUUUUGUUUAUUUUAUUUAAAAAAAAACUUAGCUAGAAAUGUGAAUCAAAUAGAAUUCGAACUUGGAACCUCGGAUACCAACUAUCAAAUUUUUUGCCACUUAAGAUAGGAACAGUCGGUGGCUUUUAGCUAUUUAAUUAACCAAUAUUGUAACUUUGCUUCAAUUUAGAAAUGCAAGAAAAAGUUGGUAUAUAUACUGUUCAUUAUGAAUGCAUGUAUCUUUACAUUUGAGUUGUUCGUUGUUAGUAACUUAACUAACACUCGUACUCGAAAUUAAGAAUGUCUCGUUUAACUCGUCGAAACAAAAGAAUUAUUGUGUUGUUUACUUUUUGAAACAUGUAGGGGUCCGGCCCCACAAUGUUCUCCCCUCCAAAGAACGUACUUACAAACUAACAGUGCCCUAUAAAUUUACACUACGUACCUUUUUUAGCUUUGAGAAUCUAUUGUUAUAUAUAGAGAGAGAGAUGAGUUGGAAUGCUAUUAGCAGUAAAUACGCUCUGUUUCCAUCCACUUAUUUUUGAUGAUAGAGUCGCCAAAUCGAUGAUCGACAAUGUUGAACGUGAUCUAUACAAUUUGAAGCAUCUAUAAACCAAAUUUUAUAUUUUUUCGAUAUUAUUCUUUUUUCCAUCAAAUGGACACAAAAAUGAACGACUGAAAAUGAAUAUUCUUUAAAAAGUGAUGAUAUGAGUCUUGUAAUCAAGAUCAAAAGCAUAAUUCUUAUUCUAAAUAGUUUUAAAAAUUUUCUAACCAAAAUUCAAUUGAUUUGGAUAUUUUUAUACUGUUAAAUGAGAAAACGUCUUAUAUCGACUAUUAAAUUAUAAACUUUGAAAUCCUUUGAUCUCUACGCCAAUAAUGUCAAAAAGAUUUGAAAUUUGACUUUUAAAUACUUCAAAUGGUAUAGAUCAUGGUCAUCAUUAUAAAAAAGGAAUAGCUGGCAACGGAGCAUGUUUGCUACUCAUAGCAUUCCAGUUUAACUCUCUCUCUCUCUCUCUCUCUAUAUAUAUAUAUAAUAUGAAGUGUACUGUCGAAUUAUGAUUAUUAAAUUUUUAUAUCUGUUUAAAAUAGUAAUUAAGUGUAGGAUUUUAAAUUUAUGCUGUUUUUUGUUUUGAGAAAUACUAAAUAUUUGAACUCUCAUUCAAACCUCAUUUACUACUAGUCGAUAGUAUUCUAACACAAUUUUAGAAGUAUUUCAGCACAAAUUUUUGGCUCGCGCAUGGAGUUUGAAUAAGAGCUUUUGAUCAUUGGAUCAAAAACAAACAAUGAUAAUUCAUGAUGGUUCCUUUUUUGUGCAUAAUUCAACGGUCAAAAUGUUGGAUUCAAGAGCCAAAGAUUUAGAAGCACCAACCCUUUAGCACUUCUAAAAGCAGCCCAGAGAGUGCGGAGUGCUAAGUUCUCUUGAGAUCCAAUAUUACCAUAUUGGAGUGCUAAGUAUGCAUAUAGUACCACAAAUGUUGGAUGAGUAAAUUUGGGCCAAACAUGGCGAAGAAAAGGAGCUCUCAAUGGUUUGCCAGAAAAAAAAGAUGAAGAAAAAAGAAACAACCAAAUAUAUUAUAGUUGUAUGGACCCUUUUCAAAUGAUCAAUUACUAAUAAAUAACUUCAUAAAGUUGUCAUGCAUGUAAUAACUAUGUGAUUAUUACAUAUAUAAUUUGUGGAAUAUACAUAUGUACGAGAAUUUUAAAAAGAUGCAUUAAAGGACAUAAUUAAUCUGAGCUCUCCGAGACCAAAAGAACCAGAAAAUAAAUCAAUUAAAAAAUAAAUCACAAUUAUCAUAUAACAUAUCCUGCAGAUUGUUCGAUUUUACAAUCUAACUAUAGCAAAUUUCCAUGAAGAAUUAACUUGUCUCGACGUACGAUGGAAAUUUAGCAAAUGACAGAUUCUUUUCCUUAUUAAUUUGUUCAAUUACGUAGGAUGCUCCAAAUGUUACGUAGGAUGCUCCAAAUGUUAGUUUGCUCAGCUACUCUCAAGUUUCAAACAAUGUAUUGUUUUUCAAACCCUCAUUUAAUACAUGAAAAGGCAUUGAGUACUAUGUGUCAUGGGCCAAAAAAAGGGCUAGAGACGUACCGCUCUUCGACAAAGAUAUUAAUCAAAGGCCACGGACUUCAGAAUUUUUUAAUCGUGUAUAUUUAACGAAAAACGUCAAAACAAGUCACAAUUGAGAGAAAAGCAUACGUAAUAAUUUUAUAUUUGACAUUACAAAUAUUUAAUGAGGCUUAUUAAUUAUAUGCAUCAAAAUAGAUAGAUUUUACAUGAUUUAUCAUGCGCAGUGCUAUCGGUACACUCUAAAGUAGAUAUAAUUUUUCAUCCACUCUAUCAAAAAGUCAUUAGUUUUUUAUUUAUCACAUCAUCUUUUUUUUGUUUUUAUUAAAAAUUAUUUGAUUUUUCGUGAAUACUAGACUGCAGGUGUAAAAUCUGCACCUCUUUGUAGAAUUUUUUAUUUUACCGUGCCAUCAUAUAAUUUCUUUCAAGAGUCUAGUAAAGAAGCUGCAUAUAUGCUAAAUUACUUGCAAUCUCAAAUACAUGCAAAAUCGCCAAGAUCUGCGCCAUUGUUUUCUCUCCACUCUUCUUGGAUGGUUUCGCUAAACCAAAGCGAAUCCUCACCGGCAUGAGAACCGAUCGCGUUGCCAUCGUCUUUGUCCCGGUUGUUAUUGCAUAGACUGUAGAAUCCAUCAUCCGCGAAGCUCGACAUGAGCUCUUCCAUGUUGAAGUCCAUGAACAGAUCGAUCGAACCGGCAUGCGGAGGAAGCAAGGAAGAAGAUGGUGUCUCGUUGCUCGGAGGAGCUAUAUUCUCAUUGUUUGGCUUUGCGGUAUCAUCUAGAUCUUGUAGCGUCUGGAGAUAAACUUUGGUGCACCUCACUGCUUUGGUUCGGAUAACUUGAUGGGACUGUUUGUCGGCUGUAGCAGUUGCUUCUGAUGAGUCCAAUACAUUAACAUCUCUUCUCUUCGAGUUGUGCACAGUUUGUCGGGGCUCUGCUUUUUUGCUAAGGUUUGUGUUCCAGUAAUUCUUGAUUUCAUUGUCUGUUCGCCCUGGAAGUCUCCUUGCUAUUAGGGACCAUCUACGCAAAAGAUCAAUUGAUGAAGAUAGAGCGUACGUAUGCAUUAAAAUGAUAUAUUUUGUGAAGAGAGGCUGAGUUAUAAGCUACCUGUUGCCAAGGAGCUUGUGGAGUUUGAUGAUGAGCUCCACUUCGUCGUCAGAAAUGUUUCCCCUCUUGAUACCGGGUCUCAAAUAAUUCAUCCAUCGAAGGCGACAACUCUUCCCACAUCGCUUUAAUCCUAUAUUAAUUGUUACGAAACAUGAUCGAUCAUCAUGAAAAGAUAGCGAAACAAUUAAUAUAUAAAAAGCUGGCAAAGUACAAGCUAAGGCGAAUCAUGGCUUAAUUAACUGAACCUUGAUCUCGAUCUCUCACCUGCUCUUGUUGGGAGAUCUCUCCAUUUUCCUUCACCGUGAAGCUUGAUGUACUCGGUAAGGAUCUUAUCUUCAGAAACCGACCAUGCUCCUUUAUUUUGUCCCUCCUUAGAACAACAAGGUCUCCUCCCCAUCUCCACUCUCCUCUUCUCUACUCUCUCUACAUCUAUCCAACUAUGCAACUUCGUUUGGUAUACACCAUGUGGCGAUGCAUAUAUCCAUGUUAUUUAUAUAGGGUUAAUUACAAGGCUACACCAACGAUGCAAUGCUCUAUAGAAAGUUUGGUGCAUGCACCUCACUGCUUUGGUUCGGUCACAUCAACAAAACAUCUUAGCUGCAUUUUAUUUGGGUAUUAGUAAGAACUGCUUAUGUUAAAGAUAGGUACAAGUUCAUGUAUAAGCAGUAACUAGACUAAUUUUAUAUUUAGAUGAAAAUUGAGUUGUUUCUAGAAAUAGGAAAAAUAGUGUUUGGAUGAUUAUAUUGUAAUAAAGGAAAUAAGAGUUAUCAUUUUAAAGUGAAUAAGAGUUAAAUUAAAAUUAUUUUAUUUAAUUAAUUAACAUCAAAAUAUUACUUAAAAAUAAUAAAUUAAUAUUAAUAAUUAUAAAUAAUAAAUUAGUUAAAUAAUAAUAAAUGAAAUAAUAAAUUGUAAACAAUUAUAAAUAAUAAAUUAUUAGCAAUUAUAAAUUAUAAAUUAAUUAAUUAACAAUAAAUAAUUAUAAAUUAUAAAUUAUUAAUUAAUAAAAUUUUAUUAUUAAAAAUAAAUUAAUUAGAUAAUAUAGUCUAAAUAAAAUAAUAAUAAUUCUAAAUAAUAAAAUUAGUUUAAUAAUUAUAAAUAAUAAAUAAAUAAAUAAUUAAUAAUAAAGUCAAUAAAAAUUAUAAAUUACUAAUUAAUAAUAAAUUACAAAUAAGAAUUAUUAAUAAUUAUAAAUAAUAAAUUAUUAAUAAUUAUAAAUAAUAAUUAUUUAAUUAAUAAUAAAAUUAUUAAUUAAUUAAUUAUUAAUAAUUAUAAAAAUAAUAUAUUAAUAAAUAUAAAUUAAAUAAUUAAUAAUAGUAAAUUCUUAAUAAUUAUUAUAAUAAAUUAUUAAUAAUUAUAUUACAAAUUAAUUAAUUAAUUAAUUAAUUAAUUUUAAUUAAUUAAUAAGAAAUUAAAUAGUUAAUUAUUAAAUAAAUUAAUACUAAUAAAUUAAUGAUAAAUUAGUUAAUUAUAAAUUAAUAAAAUAACCAAUUAAUUAUAAAUUAAUAAAUAAAUUAAGUAAUUAUUAAUAAUUAUAAAUAAUAAUAAUUUAAUUAAUAAUUAUAAAUAAUAAAUUAAUAAAUUGUUUUAUUAUUUAAGCAAUAAAUAAUAAUUUAAAAAUAAUAAUUAAAUUAAUUAAUUAUUUAAUAUCAUAAUUAAAAUUAUUUUUAGACUUUAAUUAACUUUAUUCUCACCAGGGAAUAAGGUUGUUCAAGGAAAAAGGUGGAACAAUAGUUCCGAUAUUAUACUGGGUUAUUCCAAAAAUCUGAGAGCUACUGUUCUCGGAUACUUAACACAGCAUUUGGGAACAAAGGGAAAAACAAGAGCUUAUUCCAUUCCUUGUUCACGAACCAAACACUACCUUCGCGAGCCGUGCUUUAGCUAAUGAUGGCAUACUUAUGGACACCGCCAUUCACAAUAAAUAGACUAUAAAAUAUGCAUUAAACAUAGCUUUCUGUAGUUAGAUAUUUUAUAUUAUAUAUAUUAUAUUUAAGGUUAAUUGCAUACAAGUUCCCAAAAUAUAGUGAAUUGCGGAUAUAUUCCUGCAAAUCUCAACUUUCAUAAAUUAUCGCUGCAAAAGUUCUAAUGUAUUCAGAUAUGUUCCUCUGGUUAGGAUCCGUUAGAGAAUUAUUUAUUUUUUAACAGUAGGUUUGUAAAAUGACAAUUUUACCCUCACAAAUAUUUCCUUCCAGAACAACCCUCUUCCUCUUUCUCUUUCUUCUCGGGCUGCCGGAGCGGACGGCUGUGGCGGCGAUGUCGCGGAGCAUAGGGACCAGGGCGACCACGGAUGGUCCCGCGGAGCGGACGACCACGGAUGGUCUCGAUCGCACUCGCACGGUAGCGCCAGCCGUUAGUAGCUGUCCGAUCUCUCCAGGCUUAGUAUUGACCCUCGCGCCAGCACGUUCUCCUUCUCCUCUGACGCCGUCCUCGCCUCCCCCCACCCCCCCGAAGAAUGGCUGCACCAACGCCACACCCCUCAAUCAACCGGGGCCUCCGCGCGACCGCCGCUGCAGAGCUGUGCCGCCGCGUGGUACGAGAUGGCGGCCCCCGCGCUGUCCCCGCAGAGCACCACGCGCGAGGGGUCGCAUCUUGGCGCACGAGUUCACACAUCGGGUGGGGAAUGAGGUCGAGGUUGGGAUGGGCUGUGAUCAUGUCGGCGAUGGUGCAAAGGAUCCGGGGAUCGUCGUCAUCGUUGGCGGCGUGGGCCAGGCAGGAGUCGUCAAGGAGGACGAUGGGGAGGUUGCGGCACGGAGGGAACUUGGGGACCAGGGCGCAUGGGGCGAAGGCUACGGCAGGGGCGGCGUCGGCGUCGACGAUCUGCUUGACGAUCUCGACGGGGGUGUUGAGGGGGUUGGUGGUGGUGAGCACGGCGCCGAGGCCGUCGGAAGAGCUCGUGACGACGGCCCAUGUGGACACGACGAUCGCGGCUCCUCCUUCUUCGCCGCGAUAGCCCGCCGCAUCUCCUCCCUCGCGAUGACCACUCCGGCAAGCAGAAGAGGAAGAGAAAGAGGAAGAGGGGUAAAAUUAUCAAUUCACCUUAUUAAUUAAUCAUGAUUAAGUAUUUUAACGGUAGUUAACUAAAUAUUUCUAGCGGAUCCUAACGGUAGGGACUUAUCUGAAUACAUUACGAUUUUUGCAGGGAUAACUUAUGAAAAUUGAGCUUCGCAGGAAUAUAUAUGCAAUUCACCAUAUUUGCAGGGACGUGUAUGCAAUUAACCCUUAUAUUUAUAUUAUAUUUUAUAGUAUUAAUUAUUAAAUAUUUUAUCAAUCAUUAAUAUUUAAUUUGUGCGGUGUAUAAAGCAUUAGUAUGCACGAAGUGCAGCAAAGGUUUCUUCUCCUUUUGAAUUUAUGAGUAUAUCCUAUUAAAUAUUCUCUACACAAAGUAUAUAUUUUUACAUACACUGCAUGCCUAAAACCCUUUAAUAAAAAUUUUAAAAAAUUCAUCAAAUAUAAUUAAAAUUAUUAGACUUUAUAGACAAUGUAUAUUUAAUUAAAAUUUGAUAUUAGAAUAAUAAUCAUCUAAUAUAAUUACAUAUGAUAUUAGAAUAAUAAUCAUCUAAUAUAAGUUGCGCUAUAUAGAAUAGGUGCAUAACUACAUAUAAUAGUUUCUCUUUCUUCAAUCAAUCUUAACAAGACAAAAACACUCUCAUUUUUUCUUCAAUUUGAAAUAACUCUUCCAAUUUUAACUUUUUAGGCAUAAAUUUAUUUAUAGAAUAACUUUUAAACCUAAAAUUUUGAUUAAUUGUUUAAGCAAAAUUAUUAGUAUAAUUUAACUUUACAAAUGCUGGAAGUUAAGAAAAUAUUAAUAAAAUGAUUAUUUUUAUAAUGUAGAUAAGAGUACUUUACAGCUUUGCUUUUCUGUAUUUUUUAGUUAUAUUUUUUAAUUUUAAAAUUUUAAUAAAUAUAUAUAUUUUAAUUUGCCUGAAAUACUACCUACCUGCCAUGCAGCGUGGGUUUUAUACUAGUAUGAUUGAUUCUCAUUUUCCACUUCAAAUUUUGAUCCGUUUCUUCCACUCGAGAAAGGAGUUUUUCCGGUGCACAGAGAGCGCAUUCCCGUUUAGUUAUUAAGAGUCCGAUUUGUGUGUUUUUAGAAGCACGGUAAGCAUCAUGCUACCAAAUUAUUUUCGAUACUAAGACUUCCUAAACAAUGAUCGGCUUUUUUAUAUUUAAUCUAAAGUAUUCGAAAUAUCUGAAAAAUAAAUUUUGUUAUUUUUCGAUAUCAUUUACCUAGUAAUAAAAAAAACUCAAGUCAAUGGCCGGAAAUAAAUAGUUCAUAAAAAGUGACAAUAUAUGGUGCCGAAAAUUUUAGAUCGAAAAUAUAAAACUUAUUUUAUAUAGUAUGAAAAAAAAAUUUAAAAUUUUAUAUGAUUUGAAUAUUUCUAAAUCGUUAAAUUUGCAAACAGAAUGAAUAGAACAACUUUAGCAUGCUCGAUUCGAAAGCAUUUUGCAAGGGAUACAGAAUUAUAUAUAUGUGUGUCUUGGCUAGGAAAAUUUUUCCAAAUUAAGUCGAGAAAUUUUAGAGCAUACUUAGGGCUGGCAAAUGAGCGAGCCGGCUCGUGUUCGACUCGCGUUCGGCUCGAUAUUCGGCUCGCUCAAGCUUGGCUUGAAUUAAUUUCAAGUGGAGCUUGAGCCUAAAUUUAGACUCAAAAUUAAUUUUAAGCCAANCGUUUGCAAGUUUAACGGUGUAGAAAUAUCUAAAUCACAUGAAAUUUUGAUAGAAAAUUUUUUAUACCAUAUAAAACAAGAUCAAUAACUUUGAUCUAAAAUUUUAAUGUCAUAUCAUCAUAUUUUGUAAGAUUUUUAUUUUCAGUCGUUGAUUUUGAGCCACUUCGAUCACUAGGCAAAUGAUAUCGAAAAAUCGCAAAAUUUAUUUUUUAGAUACUUCAAAUACUCUAGAUCAAGUCUAACGGAGCCGAUCUUCGAUUUGAAAGUCCGAACAUCGAAAAUAACUUGGAAGCACGGAGCGCUCCGUGCUUCCAGAAGAAUACCAGACGCACUAUAUAUAUAUAUAUAUAUAUAUAGUUUACUAUACUAUUAAUAGUACCAACCACUUGCUAUUAGGUUUUCGGCCCUUGGAUAAAGGGAUGUAUACUUAGGAUGAUAGUGAUUCCCUAUAGUUAAGUGGGUGGUUAGUUGAAUAGUAUGAUUUAUCGGAUGAAAUUAGUCAAAGGGGUAGAUCUAAUGGCACAAAAAUUCGAUACCACUACGCAUUUGGUGCUAUCGAUAAUAUAGUAGCUGGACUCUCUCUAUCUCUCUCUCUCUCUCUCUCUCUAUAUAGUCCGUCUAUUAUACUAUCUAUAGUACUAAUCGUUUUGUGCUAUCGAGUUUUCUGCCGUUAGAUCUACUUAUAUAUAUAGAAUCCGGCUAUUAUACUAUUGAUAGUACCAAGCAUUUGGAGCUAUCGAGUUUUCUGCCGUUAGAUCUACCCCUUUGGUCAUUUUCAUCCAUUAGAUCAUACUAUUCAACUAUCCACCUCCUCAACCUUAGUGGCUACUAUCAUCCUAACUAGACAUCUGUAGUACCCUUGUUUAUUUAUUUAUUUUUUUAAAUUUUUUUUAGUCGGUUGGUGAUGCAUGGGGGUGGCUUUGGAUGCCACGUGCACCCCCCAUGCAUCCUUAUCUUGUGGCCUACAGAGGGAUAGUGGUGAUUUGUAAUUUCCCUCUCUCUCUAGUUGGAAGUGGAGAGCUCGUGGAGGCUAUAGUUGGAGAUUGGAGCNUAUUUUGGAUUUGGACUAUGUAUAUGAAACUCAGUUUGUUUAUCUUCUGUUUUUUUUAGCAGCUCUCUACUACUGUUCGUAGUAGCGUUUGAUUUACAGGUACAGCUGUCGCUUCGUAUACAGAGAAAAUUUCUUUGUAUACGGCGGAUUUGUCGGCGUGCCCGGGGAACUAGACAUCCGGGGCGUGACAACAUCCCUUCAUCUAGAGCUGAAAUCUAAUAGCUAGUGGUUGGUACUAUUAUUAAUAUAGUAACCUAAUUCUAUAUAAAUAUUGGCUAGGGUUACUAUACUCUUAUGUGUAUAGACCCCUUUAUACUUAUAAUUUUUUGGUCGUUGGAUGUGCAAUUAGGAUGAUAGUGGUACCCUAGGAUUGAGUGGGUGGCUGGUUGAAUAGUAUGAUUUACGGAUGGAAAUAGUUAAAAGUAUAGAUCUAACGAUGAAAAACUUAUGAGUAUAAAGAAAUCUAUACUAAUAAGAGUAUAGUAGCCGAACUCUCCCUAUAUAUAAUUAUAUAUAAUAUAUAUUUUAAUUAUAAAAAAUAAUAUAUAUUAUGUAUUUUAAUUAUUUGUAUAUAUAAUUUAGAUUAUUGGGCCCACAAAACCAAACCAGCAAAAUCUUACUCUAAUUGCUCUCUCUCUCUCUCUCUCUCUCUCUCUCUCUCUUUUUCAGAAUCACUUUUCUUAAUUUUUUUAAUAUUACAAUAUCGUAUUUCAUGCAUUCAUUUUGUAUGUUGAGCUAUUAGACAUUUUUUGUAUCGAAUUUUAGAUAUGUUUUAAAUUGCACGAUGUUAAAGAAUUUCAAGCAGCUUGUUUAGGGCUCGAGCUCGCUUGACUUGAAAUUAGGCUUGCUCGAGCUCGGCUUGAAUUAAUUUCAAACCGAGCUUGAGCCUAAAUUUAGGCUCGAAAUUAAUUUCAAGCCAAACUUGAGAUAAGGUAAGCUCACUUGAGCUCGACUCGUUUCCACCCCUAAGCAUACUCUUCCUCCAAUCCUUAAUUAAAUAGAAAAUCCUCUAAAAGUAUUAGUAUUAUAAAUACCCCUAUGAUUUAAAGAAAUAAUAAAAAAAUAUCUAUAUUGAUAACAUUCCAUCUAAAAACUAAAUAAAAUUUUUAUUUUGUCCAUCAUAUAUUAUCUCUACCUUUUAAAUUAACUUAAAAGAUUAUUUGCUUGAAAAUUAUAAAUACAAUUAAUUGAAUGUAAUUUAAAUUGAAACUAAUUAAUUAGAGAAAACUAAAAUGCACAGAUAGUAUAAAAAAAUCAUACUUAAUUAGAAAAAAGUAAAAGAAUAGAUUCACAAAAAAAUAUAAUAUAUCUUAGUUUUAAUUAAUUGUUAAUUAAUAUUAACAUUAGACCCAUAUGCUAUUAAAUUUUAAAAAGUGGAUAAAAAAGACAUUCAUAAACUAUAUCACAAACCAACGUUGAGUUAUUUUUACCGACUGUCCCUAGAGCAAGUGGUAAAAGGCUUGAUGGUUGGUACCCGAGACCCAAGUUCGAAUCCUAGUUAAUUCACAUUUUCAGUUAAAUUUAUUUCUAAAUGAAAUAAAUGAAGCGGGUAGCGUGCUACCUAUCUCUCAAAAAAAAAAAAAAAAACGUUGAGCCAUUUUUUGGAUAAGAAAUAAAUUUAUGGAAUGAUUUAAACGUAUCAUUCCUCCAACCCCUUAAUUACAUAAAAAACCCCCCAAAGUGUCAAAAUAAAAGAUAUCUCUCUAAUUAGAGAAACCGUCUUAAAUACCCCUAUUGAUAGUGAAUUAGUGAUCCAUCUAGGAUGUGGUAUCCUGAUGUUCAGCAGGAGAGGCUUAUCGACAGCUUUGGAGAGUGUCGGGACAAGUCUGAGUCGCGUUGGCGCGAAAUAGAUACAAAACGAACUCAGCCGGGACGCAAGAGCAGGACUUGGCAUUGGAAUCUGUAAACAGCAGAUUUUCUGCUUGUUGUACCGGUACAACCAUCAAGGAGUACUGGUACACUUUCUGUACCGGUACAACAUCAGGGGUGUACCGGUACACUUUGACAGAUUUUGCGCAGCUACUCUCGGGUUGCCAUUUGUACCGGUACAUUUGCCCGUGUACCGGUACACCUAAGUAGGUAAGGGGCUUUUUGGUAAUUUCGUGCCUUGUACGUGUCACCACUCCACCACUUCGCUAUUUACAUGUGUAGAGAGGUUGAGAGAGAGUAUUCUACCUGCUUCUUCUCCCCUUUCUCUCUAGCAUCGGCCGAGCAAGGAAGAGCUCGGGUGGAGUUCGAGUUUUGCCGAUGUCGCGCCGUGGUGCCGUUUGAGUGUGUCUUCGUCGUCGUAGCAUCGCGAGGAGGCCGGGCAAGGGUACAAUUCCGCCGUUCUCGACGUCGCGUCGAAUUGGGUUUAGCUAUCGAGGUUGGUUAAUCAUCGGUUUGUCUUCUAAGUGUAUAGUGUUAGUUUUAAUUAUUUAAAACUAUGAUUUAAAACUUGAUUUUAAUAUUAUUAUUAUUAUUAUUAUUAUUAUUAUUUUAUAUAUAUAUAUAUAUAUAUAUAUAUUAAUUAACCCUACAAAUCUAAUCUGGAUUGUAUCCAGAUUUGGUCCAAGAGAGAUCUUGAUCAGAUCUCUCUUGAUUUGAUACAUGCCUCGGGAAGGGACUGGGCUAUCCUAGUCAACCCUUGGGAAAUGGCAAGAUCCUAGUCAAGGAUCUUGCCUUGACUCUCCCGUUGGAAGCUCUCCUAUAUAAGGAGAGGUGGUGCAUUUACUUAGAUACAUAAGAAGAAUAUAACUUCUUCUUAAACCGAGAUUCUUCAUUCUUUCUAAUCCUCUUUAAACCUCUUCUAUAUUUAGUACACUAAACUUUACUAUUUUUGCUGGAUCUCUGAAAGCUAAUUGGGUUCGUGUUGCGCCACCCUGAAGACGUGCCGACGGGGCGGACAGUGGUCGUUGUAUCGCUAGGAGUGAUUGCCGGAGCCUCGCACGUGGAGGGGCAAUCUUGCUUCUAGGACAGUGCAUUCGCACGCCUCGACUCACAGGCUUCAUCUGAUCUCUUGAUCUCUAUUGCAUUAAUUAUUUAAUUUUUAUUAAGAUUUUUAAAAGCAGAAGUAGAAUAGUUUUCAUUUAAAAUUGAUUAUAAAAAUAUUUUACUAAAGAUUUUAGAAAGAGAAUAUUUAUUCCAACAUAUAGUUGCUCGACAUGUGUUGUUGUGUUGAUAGAUUUUGCUCAGUUCAUGAAUUUUAGCAUAUUCCAUGUAAAAAUCUUAAUUGGAGCUUCCUCGUUGCAUGUAUCUACUAGCACAUGUUCGACUGGAAUUUGACUUAGGAGAAAACAACGAUUAUGACUUGUCAUAUGCUUAAACUACUUGAUUUAGCUCUAGGAGCCGUUGUUAUUUUGUAUCGAUGCAGUAUCAGUGUGGUGGAUAUCGCAGGUAGUUUAGAUUUCACUUACGCUCGUGCUGGGAUGCCGAGUGUAUUUUUACAGUAGUGUUCAGACUGUUCCGGAGUGUUGGGGGCCGUCGGGGUUGACGGUGGACCUCUAUCGCCAUUUUGGCGUCAGAUUGUGCCGAGAGCACGCGACCUAUUGGUUGUUAGACCAGUUGGACCCUGUUUCUUGACUUUGGCUUGUGAGAGCCUGAUUGAGCUCGACAGAGAUACGCUGCAUACUCGGUUGGGUAGCUCCCACGAGUGCCACUCCGGAGACGGGCGUUGUGCUUUCGCAUUGGUGUCGUUUGUGCAGGUUGGACUUGCUCUCCACGGACCGCUUAGUGUGGAAAUAGCUGUCUAGUCGCAAUCGGGCGGGAUGGGUGUGUUCACAGUCUCAGGAACGGGUAUGCUUACAGUCCCAGUUCGAUUAGGUCAGAAUUGACAUUUCCUACAGUUGGUUAGUAUAGAGCAUGAUAGUGUAGUGACUUGUAGCUGUAGAUUUCCUUUCAGCUUUCUUCUACUAUUUUUGCUCCCUUCUGUAGAUUUGGUGGGUGGACCGACGAUGUGGAGGGCAGCACCCACCCUAUUUUUGUAGAGCCUGCUGUUCCGGCUGCUGCUUCCUCGGAGACUGAUCGUGGCAAGGGCGUUGCCAGUUAGAGCCCUUGUGACGACCCCGACUUCCCAGUGGGUUACCCAUUCUAGGACUACUCCCGUCCUAGCACGCUUAGCUCUCUUAACCUCUUGGGUCUAGCUACCACCCAAAAUGCUUAAGCCGGGUUAAGAGUUUAGCCCUAUUAUAUCUCAUAUAUAGGACUAUCUGGGGUCUCACAAUCUCCCCUCUUUUAAGCCCUGACGUCCUCGUCAGGCUCAGACUCACAAGUACUAGGCGAUGUGAGACUCAUCUCGCUAGCCCGUCAUCCAGACCCUGGCUCAGUCGAGGCUCAUCUCACACUUCCGGCUGGUAAUUGGCUCUGAUACCAUCUGUGACGACCCCGACUUCCCAGGAGGUCACCCAUCCUAGGACUACUCUCGUCCUAGCACGCUUAACUCUCUUAACCUCUUGGGUCUAGCUACCACCCAAAAUGCUUAAGCCGGGUUAAGAGUUUAGCCCUAUUAUAUCUCAUAUAUAGGACUAUCUAGGGUCUCACAGCCCUUCCCAGUUGCUGCUGCUCGAGAGGUUACCAGCUACAGGUAGUGCUAGUUUUUUGAGUUUCUUAUACAUAUUUGUUGUAUCUCGCUGGGCGAGCAUUUUUGUAUAUCUGGAUGUAUGUAUGUAUGUGGAACUUGUCCCUAUUUAUACCAGUUUUAUUUGGGCAGCUCUAUACUACUGGUUGUAGUAUUGUAUUUGUUACAGGUACAACUACGCUUCGUAUACAGGAAAAAUUUAUUUGUGUACGACGGAUUUGUCGGCGUAUCUGAAAAACGUGUAAUCCGGGGUGUGACAGAUUAAAUUAAAUAAAAUUUUUAUUUUGCCCUUCAUCUAUUUUCUAUGUCUUUUUAAUUAACUUGAAUAUCUUUUCUGAAAAUUGCAAAUACUGUUAAAUUUAUAUUAAAUUGAAACUAGUUAAUUCGAACAACGAAAACUACACAAAUAGUCAGCAAAAAAAAAUCAUUAAUUUAGACGAAGUAGAAAAUUGAUCAACAAAAAAUAUGGUAUAUCUUUGGUUUUAAUUAAUUAUUAAUUAAGAUCAAUAGAGACAAAUAUGAUUUUCAAUUGAAAAAAUAUAAAUUUAACUAGUCAAACAACAUAAUCAUAGACUAAAUCAUAAAGAAAAACUGAGUUAUUUUUGAAUGAGAUACAUAAUAUCAUACAAUUAUUUAUAAUUUGGUAUAACCAGAGACAAAUUAGUCUAAAACUCUUUGUCAACAUGAUGGACGGCAUUUGGACAUAAUUCGUUAAUUUAUAAUGGUAAAUGAUAUUGACAAUUUUGAAGGAGUAUUCAUAAUUUUUUAGAACUUUCGAGGGGCAAGUUUAAAAUUGCUCCUUAAUUUAUUAGCUCUACAUAAUAUCACGCAAUUAUUUAUAAUUAGUUACAAAUAGGGAUAAAUUAGUCCAAAAUUCUUAGUCAGCCUUACAUAAGUGUGUUUUUGACAUAAUUUAUUAAUUUAUAGCGAAAAAAUGAAGGGAUAUCCGCAACAUCUUAUCACUUUUGAGGGGCCACUUUUGAAAUUGCCACUUAAUUUAUUAGCCCCGUAUAAUGCCAGAAAUUAUUUAUAAAUAGGUAUAAAUAGAACAAAUAAGUUCAAAACUUUAAUUAGUCAAUGCAAUAAAAGGAACUCUUAAGAUAAUUUAUUAAUUUGUAGUAGCGCACAUGAUAUAUUAACAAUUUUGAAAAGAUGCCUAUAAUAUUUUAUAACUUUUAAGCAUUUAUUAAAAUUUGUGCUCAUUAAGUUAUAGAAUUUUUAGCCAACCUUCCGAGACACAAGCUGUUUAAUUACGAUCUAAGGGACUGUUUGGUUACAUAUAGUUGUUACUGCAUUGCAGUAGUAACUACAUACAAAUACAAAUUUGGUGUUUGGUUUGAUAUAUUUAAUUUCAACUGCUGCAGUAGGAAUUGUACGAGGAGGCCCAACUAUAGCAGUUGGAGAGAGUAACUUUAAAUAAAAGAUAAGUUGACCUCUCUAAUUAUUUUCUAAAUAAAAAAAAAUAUAUUUUUUUACAUUAUUGGAGAUAUUCUCAUCAUCAUAUAUAUAAAAUGAUAAAAUUUUAAAAAUCAUUUCUCAGCUGCAUACAACCAAACAAAUUAUUUAUAAGUACAGUACUUUCUACUAUAUCCAACCAAAUAGGAUGGAUGUGGUUGCAAUAACUAUAGUUUCAACUGUAUGCAUCUUCAAUUACACUGUAUUUAUAAUUAUAUUUAACUAAACGGAUUCUAAAAAUUGUUGCACCUACUGUGCAUGGUACUAAAUAAAUGUACCUCAAGUUCAUAGCAUAUAAUAUGUAUCUAUCGCAAUUGGCUAAGAAUUUAAUAGUUGAUGACUUAGAUUCUAUGCUUGAAACUUAGUUAUUUUAUAUUUCUAGCUAAAUUUAUUGUUUUAAAAAAGAACAAAUCAGAUAACUUGCUACUGUUUCAAAAAAAAGGGACAAAAAUUCAAAGCUUAUGUAAAUGCUCUUUAAAGUAAUCUUUUAGUUUCAAAGUUUGUUAAACAAUUGUCCUUCAAGCACAUGACAUGGCACGAGUACUUCUUUGAGAGGCUCUCAUUCCACCACUAAAUUAAAUAGGGCGUUUGGCUUAAUUUUUAAAAAGUGAUUUUGGACUAAAAAUAAUUUUUGGCACUAUAGAGUGUUUGACAAUCCCGUUCUUAAAUUUUGACUUUAAUUUUUAGAAUCAAUUUUUUAAUUUUUAAGGUCCAAAUUCAGACGCAGCUAAAACUUAAUUACUUCUUAAAAUCUAAUUUCGAUUUUGAACUCAAACUUCAAAUUUUUAUUUUAAUUUUCGAUUCAAAGUAAAAAUUUAAAUUUAAUUAUAAAUUUUAAUUUUAAAAUUUAUUUUGAAUUUUUAUAUCUCACCUUUUCAAAUUUAAAACUUAAAAUUUAGAAAUUACAUUUCAUAUUUUAAAUUUUAAAAUUUAAAUUUAAAUUUUAAAUCUCAAAUUUAAAAUAUUAAAUAUCAAAAUUUUAUAGUUGAAAAUUGAAAUUUAAGAUAAAACAAAAUUUACAUUUUGAAAUUUUAGAAUUUAAAAUUUAAUUAAAAAUUUUGAAAUUAUAUAUUUUAGUUUGUAAAAUUACAAAUUUCAAAAUUUUAAAAUUUAAAAUUUAUUCUAUUUUUUAAAAUUAAAAUUUUAUUUUUAUAUUUUAAAUAUUCAAAUAGAUAUGAAAAUUUUAAAUUUUAUAUUUCAAAUUUGAAUUUUAAAGUUUAAAAUUUAAAAAUAUAAAAUUUAAAAUAAAUUUUAAAAUUUAAAUUUUAAAUUUCAAAUAUCAAAUUUUAAAUUUGAAAUUGGACGCUUAUAUUUAGCUUUAUAAAUUUAUUUUUUUAAUUUUAAAUUUUCAAAUUUCAAUUUUUGAAAUUAAAUAAUCAAAAUUUAAAUUUUGUAAAAACUUUAAAAUUUAGUUAAAAAUUUAAAAUUUUAAUUAUAUGUUUAGUUUUACAAAUUACAAAUUUCAAAAUUUAAAAUUUAAAAUUUUAAUUUUUAAAUUUAAUUUAAUUUUUUAAUUUUUAAUUUUUAAAUUUAAGUUUUGUUUUUAAAUUUAAUAUAUUCAAAUUUGAUGUUUGAAAAUUUUAAAUUUUAAAUUCAGAUUUUAAAUUUGAAAUUGAACAUUUAUAUUUAGCUUUAAAAAUUCAAAAUUUAAAUUUUAACUUUUGGACAAAUUUUAAAUUAUUUUAAAAUAAAAUUUACUCAAAAUAUUACUAUAUGCAAAUAUCAAAUUUAUUUUUGCCAAAUAGAUUUUCAAAAUUAUUUCAAAAAAAUCUCUUUCAUUUAAACUCAGCCAAAUGUUAUGCCGCUUUUAGCCAAAAAUUAUUUUUCAAAACCAAAAUUAAUGCUGCAGAAAUUACUUUUUCAGAAUCUAGACCAAAUAGUCAAAAGGCUUGUUUGAUAUUGAGAUUUAUCUAACCCCAAUAGGCAAAAAUGAAAUAAAGUGAAAGUAUAUAAAAAUUUAUUUUUCUUUUUUUUUAAUUGGAUGGCACGAAAUAUACUAUAAUCGUAUAAUUACGAUAUAUAAAACGCGAUAUUAUGUGCCAAUCUAUAAUGGCUAAUGGUGCCUAGCGAAGUCCCAAUCAGUGUGCACGAUUAGUUUGUUCGUUGUGAAUAGGGCUGGCAAAUGAGCGAGCCAGCUCGUGUUCGACUCGUGUUCGACUCGUGUUCGGCUCGAUAUUCGGCUCGCUCGAGCUCGGCUCGAAUUAAUUUCAAGCAAACUUGAGCCUAAAUUUAGGCUCGAAAUUAAUUUCAAGCCAAGCUUGAGUAUUACUCGGUUCGCUCGAAUUAAGCUCGAAAAGCUCGAAAUAUAUAUAUAGUAUAGUAACCUAACUCUAUAUAUAUAUAUAUAUGCCACCCAUUUGUUUUCGAUGAUGGAGCCUCCAAAUCGAUGAUCGGCACCGUUGAAAAUGAUCUAUACCACUUGAAGUAUCUAGAAGCUAAAUUUCAAAUCAUUUUGACAUCAUUGACCUAAUGAUCAAAGGAUUUUAAAAUUUGUAAUUUUAUAGUCGAUAUGAGACGUUUUCUCGUUUAACGGUGUAACGAUAUCCAAAUCAAUUGAAUUUUGGUUAGAAAAUUUUUUAAACUAUUUAGAACAAAAUCUAUACUCUUGAUCUUAAUUACGAGGCUCCUAUCAUCACUUUUUAAAGAAUAUUUAUUUUCAGUCGUUCAAUUUUGUGUCCACUUGAUGAACAAGAAAAUAAUAUUGAAAAAGCAUGAAAUUUUGUUUCUAGAUAUUUCAAGUGGUAUAGAUCAUGUUCAAUGGCCGGUGUCGAUCGUCGAUUUAGAAGCUCUAUCAUCGAAAACAAAUGGAUGGCAACAGAGCCUGUUUGCUACCGAUAGCAUUCCAGCCCAACUCUCUCUCUCUCUCUCUCUCUCUCUCUCUCUCUCUAUAUAUAUAUAUAGUCUACUAUACUAUUAAUAGUACCAACCACUUGUUAUUAAUUAGGUUAUCGGCCUUUGGAUGAAGGGAUGUGCGGUUAGAAUCAUAGUGAUCCCUUAGGGUUGAGUGGGUGGUUAGUUGAAUAAUAUGAUUUAACGGGUGAAAAUGGUCAAAAAGGUAGAUCUAACAACACACAAUUCGAUAGCACCAAACAUUUGGUACUACUGAUAAUAUAGUAGCUGGACUCUAUCUCUCUCUCUCUCUCUCUCUAUAUAUAUAUAUAGUCCGGCUACUAUAUUAUCUAUACUAUUGAUAGUACUAAGCGCUUUGUACUAUUAAGUUUUAUGCCGUUAGAUCUGCCUAUAUAUAUACAGAGUCUGGCUAUUAUACUAUCGAUAGUACCAAGCAUUUGGUGCCAUCGAGUUUUCUGCUGUUAGAUAUAUACCUUUGGCCAUUUUUAUUUGUUAGAUCAUACUAUUCAACUAGCCACCCACUCAACCCUAGGGGGCUACUAUCGUCCUUACCGCACAUCUCUUCAUCCAAAGGCCGAAAAUCUAAUAGCAAACGAUUUGUAUUAUUAAUAGUAUAAUUGCCUAAUUCUAUAUAUAUAGGCUCGGGUUACUAUACUUUUAUAAGUAUAGACUUUUUUAUACUUAUAAAUUUUCAACCGUUGGAUGUGCGAUUAGAAUGAUAGUGGCCCCCUAAGAUUGAGUGGGUGGUUCGUUGAAUAGUAUGAUUUAGCGGAUGAAAAUAGUCAAAAUGAUAUAAAUCUAACGGUCGAAAGCUUAUGAGUAUAAAGGGGUUUAUAUUCAUAAAAGUAUAUAUAGUAUUCGAACUCUCUCUCUCUCUCUCUCUCUCUCUCUCUCUAUAUAUAUAUAUAUAUAUAUAUAUAUAUAAUAUAUAUUUUAAUUAUAUAAAAUAAUAUAUAUUAUGUAUUUUAAUUAUGUGUAUAUAGAAUUUAGAUUAUUGGGCCCACAAAACCAAACCAGCAAAAUCCUACUCUAAUUGUUCUCUUUCUCUCUUUUUCACUUAUUAGCAGAGUCGCUUUUCCUAAUUUUUUUAAUAUUAUAAUAUCGUAUUUCAUGCAUUCAUUUUGUAUGUUAAACUAGUUAUUUUUUAUAUCAAAUUUUAGAUAACGCUUUAUAAAAAUUAAACUAUAGAUUGCACGAUGUUAAGAAUUUCAAGCAGCUCAUUUAGGGCUCUAGCUCGUUCGACUCGAAGUUAGGCUCGCUCGAGCUAGGCUCGAAUUAAUUUCAAGCCAAGCUUGAGCCUAAAUUUAGGCUCGAAAUUAAUUUCAAGCCAAGGUUGAGCGGAGGUAAGCUCGCUCGAGCUUGGCUUGUUUCCGGCCCUAGUUGUGAAACACACUUACUUGUCUAUAGCUAGCUAGUUCAUUUCUAAAUAUUAGAUUUUCAAAAUAAAUUAUAAUUAUUUUAUUGGGUAUAUAUAAUUCUUUUUCCAACAAAAAAGAGACUGAUUCUAGAAUAUGAAAGUAUUUGGGCAAUUUAUAUAAAAAAUCUAUAAUCGAAUCAUUAGAAUACACAAAAGGUGAUAUUAUGUGCCAAUCUAUAAUGGCUAAUGGAGCCUAGCUAGCGAAGUCCCAAUCAGUGUGCAUGAUGAUUAGUUUGUUCCUUGUGAAACAUGGAUUUUCUGACUUUCUUCCACUCGAAAGGAUUUCUUUUCCUAGGAAGAGGGCGCUUGUUGUUUCGUCUGGUUCAAUAAUAGCGCCUAUCCUAGUGAGUUUUAGGGACCCACCGGGCCAGAAUCUUCUCAAGCUCUGACUUUGAUAAAUUUUCUCCAACACCUGAUACGGCGACAACAUCCGAGGAGGUACUUGUGUGACCCAUGAAAAAUCAUUUCUAAAUAUUAGAUUUUAAAAAAUAAAUUAUAAUUAUUUUAUUGGCGUGUGUGUGUGAGCAGGGCUACUAUGUUAUUAGGAGUACAACAGCUCUUAUACUCCUAACUUUCUAAUCACCCAUCAAAUUUGAUGGAUGGUUAGAAUGAGAGAGAAAGGGAUAUUAAAGAGAAAUUCAAGAAGAAGAGAAAUUGAAACACCCAAUUUCUCCCCAAUAUCUCAUAUCUCUCUCAUUCUAACCUAUAUAUAUAUAUAAUUCUUUUUCCAACAAAAAAAAAGGUGAUUAUAGAAUAUGAAAGUAUUCGGCCAAUCUGCAUAAAAAAUUUAUAAGUUAUGAGCUUUUCUAAAAUUGGAUUGGUUUCUUAAAUUUUACAGACUCGAUCUGAAUUUUCAGCAAACUGACCAAAAUACCCUUAUUUUUUUCUCUCUCUCUCUUUUUUUUCACUCAUUAUUUUUUUUCUAUCCGAAGAAGCAGCGGAGGCGGAGGCGGAGGCGGCCCGCCUCGUCUCUGCCCCGCGCACUUCGCCCUCGAGCACGACCGCGCCCACACCCCCCGCCCUACCUUUUUUUNCUGACUAAAAUACCAUGAUUCUCUUUUCUCUCUUAUUUUUGUUUCUUUCGUUCUUUUUUUUUUUUAAACCCUCCUCCACCACCUCCGCGGCCCUCCUCAAUAGUAACGAGGACGGCAACGCGUUCUCUUCCUCCACCUUCGCCCUCCAUCUCUACUCCAGUAAAUUAUGCACUCACCAGCCUACUUUUGGGAACCCGUGUCCCCACCAUCGCCGCCGAUGAUAAAGAGGAAGCACUUCUUGGCACCAAAAAGCUUGCCAACGAGGGAGGCAGCACGCGGUCCACCCGCCUACCCCAGAGGGCGGCGGUGAGCGCGGCUUCGGCGGUGUUGGAGGCGAAGAGGGUGAGAGGUGUACAGGAGCAUCUCUGGAUUAGCAUUUUUGUUUGUUUAAAAUAGAAAAAAAUUAACUAAAAGCCAACUAGAGAAUAAUGAAGAAAAUCAGAGAAGAAGGAAGAAGAAGAUGAAGUUACACUGUUAAAAAUAAAUUGUACUGUUUUAAAAGAAUGUUGCACUAUUAUGGACGUAAGUUGUACUCUUUGAAAUAUAAACUGCACUCUUUAAAAUGAGAGUUACACUCUUUAAAAAAAGUUACACUCUUUGAAAGAUAUUUACACUAUUUUUUUUUGUUGCACUCUUUAAGAUGUAAACUGUAUCCUUUAAGAGCAGAAAUAGUGUAAAUAUCUCUCAAAGAGUAUAAUUUUUAUUUAAAGAGUACAAUUUUUAUCUUAAAAAAUACAGUUUAUAUAUGAAAGAGUGCAAUAAGAAAAAAAAAUUGUAGUAUCCCUGGUGAUUGGUUGUCCGCGAGAUUUCAGUAUUUGAGACUUGUCGACACAUCUGGAGAGUGUCAGGACAAGUCGGAGUCAUUUUGGCGCAAAACGGAUGCAAAACGGACUUGACGCGAGGCGAGAGUGGAGUUCUGACGCUGAAAUCCGUAAAUUGUAGGAUUUCAGUGUUCAGUACCGGUACCACGCAGGGGAGUAUCGGUACCCCAGUGUGAUUCCAAAAUAGCAUGCUCUCGGGUUGCGCCAAUUUGAUGCUGAGUACCUGUACGGUAUCCGGCUGGUACCGGUACUCUGUGUGUGAGCUUGCGGGCUGAGAGGCCGAGUACCGAUAACCAAAUCUGGUACUGUACUCUAGCUGAAUUUUUGAUUUGGUGAAGGGCAUUUUGGUCCUUUGAUGUGUCGAUCAACCCAAUGUUUAUCCCCAGCCUAUUUAUUGACAGAGAGAGCUUGUAACCAGUUCUUCUUCUUCUUUCCCUCUCUCUCUCUAGCUGGUGGAUUUGUACGUGGUUGAGAUCGCGGCUCGAGUGCAAGAGGUUGUCGACGUCGAUUCGGAGGGUUGUUCGAGCGUGCGUGCGUCGAGGUUGCAUCGUUAGAGGCCGGGCGAGCGCGUGAUUUCAUCUCCUUUAGACUUCUCGCCGUGGUUGGACAAGCUUUUCGAGGUGGUUUGAAGUUUACCGAAAUCGUUGGAAUAUCUACUAAGUUUUAGUAUGGUCGACAUGUUUUAUUGGUUUAUUUCGUUACUAGUACUCGAAUUCAUGGAAUAGUGAUAAAAUCUGAAUUUGGAGUUAAACUAGUAGUAUAAUUUUACAUGUUGGACUUGAAAUUGAUUUAUGAGAAAAUAUAUAAAUUCUAUACUGUCACUUUCUAAAAAUUACCAGAUUUAACUUUAAAAACUGUGAUUGUUUUGAACUUGAAAUUGAUAUAGGAGAGAAUAUAUAGAUUCUAUACUGUCACUUUCUGAAAAUUAUCAGAUUUAGUUUUACGAGCUGUGAUUGUUUUGUAUCGUCGCUGUUAGUAUGCGAUGGAUAUCCAGAUAGAAUCCUAAACCCUAAACUAUUUUACGGUGAAUCAAACCAUCCGUCAACUCAAUCCGUCAAUUGUCCCAUCUCCCCACAACCCUGGAGAUCGAAUGAUUUGUACGUAAUUGGAAUCUCCGAACAUUUUUAAUUUUUGCGCACAAAUAGUGUGGUUGAUGUGCCCCAGGCGAAGAAACAAAGCCGUACGUUGUGGACACGGUGGAGGGCGAGGCGCCACACAACUUAAUUAGCUCGAUUCGUAAGAUCGAUCCAUCCGUCUCCCAACCAUCCUUCAAACACUCGUUAUCAUCUCAAACACAAAAGAAAAAAAAUCUCAGCUAGAGAAUUAUGUGGAGAGCAUUACUUUACGUCUCCACUAGAGACCAGUGGGCCACGUUGGUUGGUUAAUUAGUUAAGUUACGAAAAUGCUUUGGACCUUUUAUAUUAUUAUUAUUAUUAUUUUUUUUUUUUCUCAUCUUUCUUCUCUGUAAACUUCAAUCAAAUUCACCAUUAUUGCAAGUUUUUCUUUCGCUUCUUAAUUUUCUCUUAAAACUUUUCUUUUGAGCAGAAUAAGAAAACAUUAUAGAAAAAAUUGAUGAAAAAAGCGACAUGCGCUCGACAUUGGUGAAACAACACGUGUCUUAGAUAAAUGGAGAUGGUGAAAUUUUAAUUACGGAUUGAAAACUAGGAUGAAGGAGAGAGAGAAAAGAAGAAGAAAAGUUCUCAUUGCUAGGAUUUUGAAUGAGAUAAUAACGUAUAAUAUAAGGGGGUAAAAAUAUCAAUUUAUCUUUCAUUCACUAAUCAAACUUAAGUAUUUUCUAUACAGUUAAUUAAAUUUUUUUAACGGAUCAUAACGGCAGGGACAUAUUUGAAAACAGUAAAAUUUUUGCCAAGAUAACAUAAAAAAGUUGAACUUUAUAGAAAUAUGUUUAAAAUUUGCUAUGCUUACAUAGAGCUGUUGGCAAUUAAUCUUAUUAUUUUUGUAUGUUACUAAUACGUCAGCAUCUAAAGAGAAAAGUAUUAAACGCUCCUUUUGAGUUGUACCGUUGGUUGUUUGAUUUUUGUGCUUUAUGUAUGCUUCAGUCCAUUUUACAUUGAGAAGGAAGUGCUUUUGAUGCAAUUUUUGUUUUUUUUUCCCUUCCUUUGCUAUCUCCAUCUGCUUUUGUCUUUCCAUAACACUAGGUAGGAUGCUCCCUAGGAAUGUCACUACAACAUAAUUAGGCUAUAGGGGCACAUGUUUGGGACACUUUUGAGUAAGUGUCCUAUUUAUGCUAAAACUUAAAAAAAUAUCUGCUAAUGCCUAAAUAUAAAGCCCAAUCCAACAAAAAAUAAAAGAUUACUUUACUCAACCCACCACACCCAAUCCAUUUGGCCCGAUUACAAACAAAAAAGAAAAAAAAAAGAAAAAUCAAUUGCCAUCUUUUCUUCUCUCUUCACUCAAUCCGCUGAAAUUCUAGACGAAGAGCCUUUCCUGUCGUCCUCCUCCACCACCGCAGCCAACGAGAUAGAGUUUCGGCGGUUGCUAAAUACUUAAAUAAGUGUUUGUAAAUUAGCAGCACUCUUUUAGGUUAUAGCGACACUCUUUAACUGUCACUAUAUACCUAGCGACCCCACAUAUAGCAACACUUUUUAAAAGUGUCGGUAAUUUUAGCUAGCAGCACUUUUUUGACAUGUACCUACAUUUAAAAGUGUCGCUAUAAACCGUUUUUGUUGUAGUGUGUCAACUUGUCGGGUUAGGAGCCGGUCUUUUAAAAUUCAAAUCCAAACCAAAAAUCAGAAUUCAAAUUCGAAUUCAAAUGGCUUUUGAAACUUUAUAUUCAAACUUAAACCCGACCAAAAUCUUGACAUCAAAUUCGAAAUCAAAUCUAAAUCUAAAAUAAUUAUUUCUCUUUAUUACAUUUCAAAAUAUAUUAUAUUAAAAUCUAAAAUUUUAAAAUAUAAGUCCAAAUGUAAUAUCAAACGUUCACAUAUAUUAUAUAAUGUAAAACCAAUUUGGGCGACAAAAUCCAUAACCAAAUACAAAUCCAGAGGAAUUUUAUUUUUUAUACUCAUAUCCAAAAUUAUAUCCGUUUUGCAUUGAAUAAAUCCAUCCCGUUCAGAUUUAGAUUUGAAUAAAAUUUUGAAUAUUCAUACUCAUUGACAUCCCUAAUGCUUCCCAUAUACAACUUAAAUUUUGUCCCACCUUUUUCAUACUCUAAUUAUGUAAUGUGGAACGUCACCUGACACAUUAUUUGAACUAUGAACUAUUUUAAAUUAGCUAUCCAAUUUAUUAAAAUUUCAAUUUUACCAUCCAGUCCUUCUAUUUGAUUGAUUUACAGUGUAGAUAUGUUCUGUAUGCUUUUACCUAAUAGUACAAAGGAUAAAUUACAUUUUUGGUUUGCAAGUUAUGAGGAGCAUGACACUUCGGUCGUCAAACUUUAAUUUACUAAAAUUUCUGGUUUAAUGGCUUUUGUUUUAUUAGCUAGGGAAAAAGUCAAAAACUUUUGUUGUUGUGAAAAAGGUUUUACUUUCUACUUUUGAGAGAAAAAGAUAACAUACUAUUUAUUUUAUUAUUUUUUUAAAAAAUAAACUUAUUAUUUUUUUUUUUUUUGAGAGAUAGGUAGCACGAUACCCAAUUUGUUUAUUUCAUUUAGAAAUAAAUUUAACUGAAAAUGUGAGUCAACUAGGAUUCGAACUUGGGUCUCGAGUACUAACCACCAAGCUCUUUGCCGCUUGCUCUAGAGACGGUCAGUAAAACAAAAAAAAAAAAAAAAAAAAAAAAAAAAAAGAAAAUNGUUUAAAUUUGUGUAACUUUUGUUAAUGGAGAGCAAUGUGACAUGUCUCUUAUAAUAUAUAAAUGAAAUUUUAUAAUGUCCUUCCCCUUAUUCCUAAUUAUAUAAAAAUUCUCUAAGAAAAGGUUGUCAACAUCAAAAUUGCUCCUUACAUUUAGUAAAAUCAUCACAAUUGGCCAUAGUACUAUUAAAAUAUGGCUCAAAUGCUCACUAUAUCCCUCCUACCCUUUCAAUUAUUGUAAACAUUUAUACAUGUAAUGAUCGAGAUACUAUGCAUUUAUUAUUAGUAUUAAUAUAGUUUAGUUUUAUUUUAAUAUGUCUUCAUAUUAACUCGUUUAGUAUGCCUCUAUUAGUCUAUUUUAUGUUACUUAGUAUAUUUUUAUUUUGUUUGUUUGUUUAAUUACAGAAGGAAGAAUUGCAUACUUCUCGUUAAAUUUUUUUUUUUUCGAUUUUUAUACUCUGAAUAAUUGCCUAGGUACCCCUAAAAAUUUACGAAAUAUCCCAUAUCUCUAUCAAUUUUUUUUUUGUAGAGUGAGGCAUGAUGGGAGGCACAGAUAGAGUGAAGCAAGCGGGAGGGGAAGAGAUCGAGCUUGAUAUUCUUCAAACAUGGUUAUACUUUUUUAUAUAGGUUCAAGGAAGAAGAAGAUGAUUAUUAGGAGGCAAAUAAGAAAACUAGGUAAUUAUUGAAGGACAAAUAAAAAAAAAAGUGAUAGUGGAAUGAAAUAAUCGAACAAGCAAACUAGUCCUUUCGCAGAGAUAACAGCUAUUCUUAAUAGUGUAUUAAUAGAAUGUAAUACUAAGGGUACAUUUGAAAAGCUUGGAAUGUUAGAAACAUCUUUUCAACAUGGACUUCUAUGGAGGGUAAAAUAUAAAAGUUAGAAACUUUAUAAGUAUACAUAGGUAAUCAUCCUUUAUAUUAUUUUAGAUUUAGAUAUAGUUCACCAUGACUUCUGUGAAAGAUAAAUAUAAAAGUCAGAAACUUUACAAGUGUACAUAGGCAAAUAACCCUAUAUAAAAUUUUAGAUGUAGUACGAUAGUUCUUUAUUCUAGUUUCGAUUUAUAUUACUAUGUGUUUAUUUCAUAUUUGUAUAUUCUAGUUUACUGUAUUUACUUUUCAAAUUUUUACAUUAUUUUAGAUAUGGUUUAAUAGUUCUCUAUUUUAACUCUGAUUUAUGUUAUUAUACGUUUAUCAGGCUUGUAUUUCUGUAAUUUACACUAACUACUUUUGUUUAUGCUAUUUUAUCUCUGCAAAAUAAAUUAAAUCAAAUGUUACAAAUUAUAUGCUAGUUAACUAUUGUAAGAAUAAGUUGCCGAAAGAGCAUUUAAGAUAUAAUUUGUCGAUUUAUUCAGGUAACAUUGAUAUAUAUUGAGAACUUCAAAGGAACGUCUAUAAUUUUUUAAAUUUUGAGGAGUACAUUUGAAAUUGCUCCUUUAAUUAAAAAAAAGAAACUUGUAAUCUCUUGAAUAACUCAAUUCAAAAAUCACCUUGGUUUAACGAAAUAAUUAACCUUUACCUCUCAUACCAAUUAUUUGAGAAUUUGCAGAAAAUAAAUACUGAACCUUCAUAACAGAAGGGUUGAGUUAUUCACAUAUACUUAAUACAUUAAUUAAUUGUAGUCAAUUGUGCAUUAAUUCAGCUAAUUCAAGAAUUAGCAUUCUCAUCAACCAAAAGGUCUUCCCAUGUAAAGAAUAAUUUGCCUUCUUCUCCAACUAUCCACUCAUCCAACCUCUCUUCAUUUGGAAUGAUCGGGGGAUUACACCAUUGUUGCAACAACCAGUCAAUACUGCCACUGCACUCUCCUUCAGUCGAAGUUCCCCACAGUUGUACUUGUGCAUUAGCUUUUGGAUCAAUGUGAACCGUUUUCGUCUUCUUUAUUGUCCCUUGAGAUGGGCUUGACACGGUCGAGACGGGCUUGUCGAUCAGGUUUGAGUUGGCUCGGUGCACUUUUUUCUUAAGGAAUGUGUUCCAGUAGUUCUUGAUCUCGUUGUCUGUGCGUCCCGGUAUCCUCCCCGCUAUCAAAGACCACCUUGGAUAUUUUUGUAAACCAGCUCAAAUCAAUUUUGAUAAAAUAUUCGUCUAAACUUGACUAACCUUGGGUAAAUUAACUGCACCAAGCUAUAACAAACAUCUUCUUCUUCUUCUUCUUCUUCUUUUGUAGUUUCAGUUUGAUCCUUAAUCUUUGUGCAAAUUAAACAUCCCUUUUGUUAGUACUUUAGCUUGGUUCUCAAUUAUUCAAAGAAUCAAAAACUGCGUUAACUUUUAAAUCUUAUACUUCACUGCUAUGUAUCUCAAAUAGGUCUAGACAUAAAUCUGGAAUGGUUUUUGAAAUUGAAUAAGUUUUCUAGAAUAAUUAAGUCGAUAUAUUGCUUUUGGUACAUACAGUAUUUCUUCUUUUUUUUCCCUACAUCUAUCUAAGUUGCUAUUUAACUAAAGAUACAUCUAUCUAAGUUGCUAUUUAUCUAAAGAUAUAUAUCAAACCGGAUAAAGAUCUCUUAAAAAAGACAAUUUAUUUAUCUUACAAUUCCACACUCUUGUUAAAUACAACCAAUGACAAUUAACCGCCAACUUAUCUCUGUGAUUUCUGUAGUAUGAGAUAGUAGUUAAUGAAGUAUAGGAUUAGUAACUGAGACAACAAAGGGAUGAUUAAUUGAGAGUUCAUAAAAUAACAAGGACCCAUGCAUGGUGCAAUUAACUUAUAGUUCUGAACUAUAUAUGAGCACGUAAAGAGCUGAUCAUAAUUAAAUAUAUUAACCUGUUUCCCAGAAGCUUGUGGAGUCUGAUAAUGAGAUCCUCCUCAUCUUGGGUGAUGUUCCCGCGCUUAAUGUUGGGCCUGAGAUAGUUCAACCAACGGAGCCUGCAACUCUUCCCACUGCGAUUAAGCCCUAGUUAUAACACCCAGAAAAAAGAAAAAAAGAAAGACAAAAUCAUGUUAAUUUUCACAUAAUACUAAACAAAGGAGGAAAAAUUAAGAAGCAAAAUUUUGCUCAUAGAUCUAGAAGCUGUAAUAAGUUAAGCUUCGUGGCUUUUGCAUGCACCAGCUUUCAUGGGAAGUUUUGCCCAGUUCUCCACACCGUGGGCUUCGACGUAGGACGCUAGAAUACGAUCCUCCUCCUCCGUCCAUUUUCCUCGGCUCAAAACUUGAGAGCAAGGGUGGGUUCUUGGUCUCAUCGUAAUUUUUCUUAGUUUGUUUCUUUCUUUUUUUGGGAAUUAUUGCCGAGUUUUUGUAGCCUCUCCCGCACACCUUUCCUUCUAUAGAAGAAUAAUUUAGUGACACUACUUGGAUUCUCAAAUUAUAAUUCUUUAUAAUUUCUAGGUCCAACUUUGUAAAGUAUUGCAAUUAAGUCCUACAAUCCAAUUUAAUUAGCUGACUAAACUAAGGACGAAACCGGAAUUUAAUUACGAGGCGGGUCAAAAUAUGUACAAAUAAAAAUUUUAGUAGAUAAAUAAAAUUUUAACUAUUCAAAUUUUUAAUAAAAAAAUUUAGUGAUUAGAUAAUUAAUGUUAGAAAAUAUUAAAUUUAUUUUUUUAAUUUACACUCGCUUAAUUUUUAAUUAUUUUAUUUGCAUUAUUCCAUUCAAAUAACUUAAGAAUUUUACUAAAUCUAAUAGUAAUUUAGUUAGAAUUUUUUUUUGUUAAUAAAAUAAUAACAGCCAAUAACUAAUAUCUAAUAGAGCUAUUAAAUUUAGCAUACUAUCUUAUUUAGUUAAAUAAAUUAGCUCUUCAAAAAUAAUUAGAAAGUUAGGAAUGUAUAAAUAAAAUAUUUAAAGUGAAAAGGACUUAUUUCAAAAUGCACUAUAAUUAAGAGGUUCUUAAUAUAUUUUCACCUACAAAACACAUAAGAAGAGAGAGAGAGAGAGAGAAAGAGUUCUAUAUAUAUAUACUAGUACUAAAAACUUUUUACAAGAUAGGCCCAUAUAUUUAAAAAAUUAAUUAAAAAUUUAUAAGUUAUCAAAGCACUAUAAAGUAAAUAUUGAAAAGUUGAGGGGGGCCAUGGCCCCUUUGGAUCUAUAUUUGGCUCUAUAUUUGGCUCUAUCCCUAGACUAAAUAUUGAUGAGUCGCUGAUAUAGAAAUAAUAUUGCAUCUUAAAAUUAUCGUCGCAUCAUCAAUCAUAAUAUUGCUAAAUUACUUUCACAUUAGCAAUACAUCAAUAUUUAGUUGAUUAAGCUGGCUUGCAUGUGAGAGUUGAUUACAACAAUUUAUAAAGCUCAAGUCAAAACUACAACAAAUUAAAAUUUGAGCACCAACUCUGUAUUUUAUGUGAUUAAUUGGAGAAUAGUCGGUUCUCUUGUAAAAGAAGGCAAUACCAGCUGUGUGGUAGGAAUCAUGGACUUCUCUACAUUAAGCAAUGGAGACAAGAGAAUGUUGAUAGAUGAAUAGAUGCUCUUGAAGUCCAAAAGAAAAGAACGAAAGAAGGAAAAUACUAAAUAUGAUUGGUGAUCUAGUUGGUCAAUGCAAUGAAAUCCUUGGAGAAUUAUCAAAUUCUCUAUUAAAUGUUAGCUAAAAAAUGUGGACACAAUGUAGCAUGAGACAAAAAUGAAAGCUAAUCCUAGUAUACAGGUUUUGAGAUAUUAUAUGCUGCAAAAAAAUAUUAAAAAAAUGGCUAAAUUACAUAAAACCCCCCUAUCAAUACUCGUUUUUUCACUUUCCCCUUUUGUCAUUUAAAAACCUACACUUUGCCCCCUUGUAAAAUGAAAAAUGUUCUCAAGGGGGUACGGUGUUAACUACAAUGACAAAAUGACCAAUUUGCCGCUCAGAGGCGGCAAUGUUGAGGAGGAGACUGAGGAUAUUUUUGGUAUAAAAAAAUAUAUUAUAAUAUUUUAUAAACAGAACCCUAACGGAGCACUAACGGUAGGGAGCGAAGUGAACAUUUUUAUUUUAUAAGGAGACAAAGUGUAGGUUUUUUAAUUAUAGGGGAGGAAAAUAAAAAGUGGGUAUUGAUAGGGAAAUUUUCUGUAAUUUAGCCAAAAAAAAAAUAGGAACCUUCCAAGAGUUGUCCUAUUAGAAGAAAGAGGCUAGAUAUAUAGGUAGAUCACAUUUAUGUAGGUGAAGCAUUACUUGAGGUCAACAAACACAAUCAUAGAAUUGUGUGGUUGAUUUCUCAAAGAUUGAGUAGCUACAAUGCAUAUGGAAGGUUCAAUAGCAGUUGCUUUCCUAUGAUGUGGAGUAUCACAUCACAAAACGUUCAAUAGCAGUUGCUUUCCUAUGAGGUGGAGUAUCACAUCACAAACAGUGAUGGCACAUUUGUUGGAAAGGACAUUGCUUGGAAAGUUACUGGAGCGAAAGUUAUAGUUGUUAGGUUAAUUUUUUUGGGGGUACGUAAUAUAAGUUGGCUAAAUUUUAUUCGAUUUUACGAGUCCUGAAUUCGAUUUUUACAUCCGCGAUUUUCUAGUAUCACUAUGCAUGUGAGUGAGCUGGGUGUUAAGAUUACUCUUGAGCUGUCUGACAUGGUUUACUUGAUUUUUAUUAUGCACGUGAGCAUGAGUGUCAGAUAAACAAUAUUAUAAAAUUAAAAAUUUAUUUUUAGAUACUGAAAAUACUCUAAAUCAAGUCCUACAAAGUCGAUUUUUGAUUCGAAUGUCUUAUUAAUUAUUGAAAAUAAUUUGUGAGCAUAGAGGAUUCCGCGGAUGCUUCUAUAUAAAAGCACCCAGCUAGACUCUAUCACAUUGUUGGGAUUGCGUACAACAGGGAAAUAAGGCUUUAUCCCCUUUCUGAUACCUAAACACAAAUCUAUUUGGGUGUGAACUGUAGCGCGUUAUCCCAGGAUAACCCACUAUGGGUGGGAAACCCGCUAUGGGUGGGAAACCCGCUAUGGGUGGGAACUGUAGUUCCUACCCUUAUCCCCCCGUUGCUCGAGGGUAUCUCCUAGAAAAAUCUGCUUCGUGCCUCCUCAUUUCUUCCUCCUCGUACUUAGUUGAUCUGAGGUUGCUUCUUCGUGGCAAACCCUAGAUUUGAGGAUCUCACACCGCCGCCUCGUGCUAAACCUUAGAUCUGAGGAGAAAUUGCCGCCGCCUCGUCUUCUUCUCUAUGCCUUCUCCCUUCUUUCUCCUUGUAGCUUGGUCUUACACUAGAUCUGAGGUUGCUCUUUUGUGCCAAACCCUAGAUCUGAGGUUAUCACAUUGCUGCCUUGCGUCGAACCCUAGAUCUGAGGACAAAAUCGUCGUUGCCUCACGUUCUUCUCCAUGCCGCCUCCAUUUUUCGUCCUCGUAGCUUAGGUCAUCGCUGCCUCUGUGAAGAAAUCACUGCCGCCUUGUGCAAAACCUUAGAUCUAAAGUUGUGGUUGAUCUUCUUCUUUGUGCUUGAUCUUCUUCUUUGUCCUUCCUCUGUUCAACCCAAGAUAAACAACGUAAUUUUUUUGAAUUGAUCUUCUUCUCUGUGGUUUCUCUAUUCGUUGUCAUUGUGGGUUUGGUCGAACCGUACAUUUGCGAUUACUGGUAAUCGGCUAGAUCUUGGCUGUUGCCGGAGCCUUGUGGUCGCGAACCGUACAAUACAGGGCUUUCUCUGCCUUCAUAGUAUUUCUACAUGCCUUGUGGUUCGAUAUUAAGGUUCUGUAACCUUCGCUUGCCUGAGCUGCAGCAGGCCUUGACAUAGUUUCUGCUGUUUAUCAUCUUUGACUUGCGCUCGAAAGUAAUACUUACUGAUAGUAUCGUAAUUUACAUCACUUAUAAAUAGUACAGAUUGUUGCCAAGUAUGUUUUGUAAAUUGUGAUGGCCAACAAUAAUGAGCGGACACUUAAUUUUGUAUGCAUAUCAGAUCUAACUAUACUUGUAUUUUCUAUGCCCUGCAAGUAUACCAAACGAAAGAGCUGCUGUUUAUUUGGCAGUGAUGCUAGUUUUCAUUAGUAUUUAAUGGAUGAUAUGGAUGUAAAAUUCUGUGCAACCUCAUACUAAUUGGAAGCCAAUGAGCCAUCAAUCCAUUACUAUUAUAGAUGGUAAAACAUGUAUACAUAGAUCUGAUGUUAUGUAAAGUUACACGUUGCCUUUUUUCAAUGAACUGUGAUAUUCUAAACCUUAGCAAAUUGGCAAGGUUACAGUAUAAGUUUAUGCUUGAUUGAGUUGGGAACAUUUUGCGCAAAAUAGACGUAAAAACGGACUUUAAAACUCAAGAUUUAUAGUGUAGAGGACUAUAGUUGAAUGCUUGAGUAGGUGAGGGGCUUUUGGACAUUUGUUGCCUUAAUCCUUUCAACCUUAUCCCCACUGCCUAAAUUAGGAUAGGGAGGCUGUGAGGGACUUAAUUAUCUUUCUCGUCUCUCUCUCUAGACUUUGAUCGUGGCUUGGUGGAGAUUGCGGAUUGAGCUCGAAUCGACGUUGACAUUGCGCCGGAAAGCCGUUCGAGCGUACGUGCAUCGUGGUAACGCCGUUGGAGGCCGAGCGAGUGCGGAAUUUUUCACUUCUCUUCUCGCCGUCGUUGGAUUAGCUUUUCAAGGUGGGUUGAUGUUACCGGAAUUUUCAGAUUUCCUCCUAAGCCGCAGUUAACAGCAUGUAUUAUUGGGUUUUGUAUAUCAUGUUCUAUAGCUUGAAUUUGUGGAUUUGUAUGUUCUUUGAAACCUGAAUUUGGAGCUUAGUUAUUGGUUUAGAUAAAUUAUACAUGUUGGAUUUGGAUUUGGUUUAGGAGAAAAUAUUUAGAUUCUACACUGUCAUUUUCUGAAAACUAUCAGAUUUAGCUUUAGGAGCUAUAGUUUGUUUGUAUCGCCGCAGUUUAUAUGCGGUGGAUAUCCAGAAUAGUGUAGAAUAAAUUUACGCUCGUACUGGAUGCUGAGUGUAUUUUUGCAGUAGUGUAUAGACUGUUUCGGACAGUCGGGUGCCGUUGCGGUUGACGGUGGACCCAGAUUACUGUUUUUGUAUCAGAUUGUGCCGAGGGCAUGUUUAUUAUGGUUGUUAGACCAGUUAGACCCUUCUGUUUUGAUUACAACCUGUGAGAGCCUGAUUGAGCUCGGCAGAGAUACGCUUGCAUACUCGAUUGGGUAGCGCCCGCGAGUGCCACUCCGGAAUCGGGCUUUGUGCUUUUGCGUUGUUGUCGUUAUGUCCUGGUUGGACUCGCUCUCCACUGACAACCCAGCGUGGAGGUAGUUAGUGUAGCUUCGACAGGCGAGACGCGUGUGUUCACAGUCCCUAGUGAGAUUGGGUCAGACAUUGCAUUUUUCUACAGAUAGAUAGUGUUGGAUGGACAUAGUAUAGUGGCACAUAACUAUAGAGUUUUUCAGCUUUAUUUACUAUCCUUGAGCAUAGUUCUGUAGACUUAGUAUGUGAGCCGUUGAGGUCGGUAGCGGUACCCACUGAGGACUACUUCUUUUUACAGUAGUUCUCACACCCAGUUGUUGAACCCUUUUUGCAGAGCCUUCUUCUUCGGCUGCUGCUGUUGCGGAUACUGAUCGUGGAAAGGGAGUCGCGAGUUAGAUCCCUUCCCAUUUUGCUGCUGAUCUAGAGAUAUACCCGCUACAGAUAGUGCUGGUUUUUGGUUCUUGUAUAUACUGAUGUUAGAUCCUCGCUGGAGCGAGUGUUAUGUAUCUGGAGACUAUGUAUAUAUAGAGAACCUGAUGUUAUUUAUAUAUGUUUUUCAGUUUAGCAGCUCUAUACUGCUAGUUGUAGUUUUGUAUAAUUACAGGUACAUGUACAGCUAUUACUUCGUAUACAGGAAAAAUUUCUUUGAAUACGGCGGAUUUGUCGGCGUGCCCGGAAAAACGAGUAAUCUGGGGCGUGACAUGAACAUAUGAUGCUUUUGCGUUCAUGUUGACUCUUAGCUGUGAACUGUUGGUUCAUGUUAUGAAAUCGACAAGUACAAUAUUGCGGCACAACUAUUAACUUGGUUCAAAAAAUUGAUUUGGCGAUGAUGUCGGUUUCCGGCAGCAUUCGAUGGUUGGUAUGGAUGUAAAAUUCUGUGCAUCCCUAUGAUAGUCGGAAACCAGCUAAUAGAGCUUCUGUUUGUAUAUAUGGUUUAUAGCUUGCUUUAGAUUCUCUCAAAAAGUACUAGGAAUUCUAGUUGGUAAAACUUUAUAUGCUCGAAUACUUUAUAUACUCAAAAAUAACAUAUUUCUUUCAUGGAUACAGAUCUAGCUAGAAAUUAAUAGGCUUUUUUCACUUCUAACAAUGCUUUCGUUUUUGUUUUAAAAUGUCGCAGGUGGUCGCUAAUAGCACGAAGAUUACCAAGUCGAAUAGAUAAUGAAAUCAAGAACUAUUGAAACACACGCGGUGCUAAAGAAAAAGGUGCAAUCUCAACCCACUCUCUUGGGGAACUGCUUACAUACGAACUGCAACGAAGAUAGUAAUCUCGAUGCUCGAAGUACAUCGUCAUCAGAAGAGUUGUGCACUGAAGUCGGGGGCCGACAAUCCGAAUCAACAUGGCAGUGAUUCGCAAAUUACUUGCAAAAGUACUGAUCUUUGGGACUCACUAGCUAGUUGCUGACUUAAUUGCUUUGGAUAGUUCAUCGGUUUUAGCUUCUCAAUAUUCAAAUAUGUGAAACAAUGAGAGCUGUUUGCAACUUAUGAUCAUAGUCAUAGUGUUGUUCAAUGAUAUGGAGCAUAUAAGUAAGAGUUGGCAAUGAAAUGAGAAAACUUACAUUGGGAUAUGCUAUAUAUGAUUAAUAUUUGAAUCAUAUAUGAAAGACAUAUAUAGAGAGAGAGGGAGCUAAUUUUAAUGUAGUCACUAUUUAAUAUUUAGUAAUUAAAUUUGACCAGAUUUAAUAAAUCUCAUUUGCUAUUAUUUUUGUGUGUAUUCUAGUAAAUAAAUAUUUGAUCGAUAAGUUUCUCCUCUAGUAAAUAAUUAUUAACUUUUAGAAUAUUUUGAUAGUACUACUCAAUAGUUACAUCACUUUUGCUUGUGAAGAAAAACUCAUCUCUUCUUUUAGCUAGAAAGAAAAUUUUUAUUGAAAUAAGAUAUGGAAAAGUGGACAAAAUUAGCACCUCGGUUCAAAUAAAGAGUAUUCGAUUCUUAAGAUGAUUCGAUGAAUAAAACCAACAUGAAAAUUUUCACUUCAAUAGAAGAGUUUCUUUUUAUUUUUUAUUUGAAUUUUUUUAAAAAAUCACACCUGCAGGUCUCUCUAAGCACCAAAAUCCCUUCAAUUUAACCCAUCCCAAAUCCUACCUAGCACGGGAGGCAAAAGCCUCACAUUUUUCUGGAUGUCUUGGGUACGUGUUGACUUGAAUAGUUAAAAGAAAUAUCAUUUUUGUGUUACAAAGAGUUAAAAAAAUAAAAAUAAAAAUAGUACUGAUGAUUUUUUUUUCAUCUAAUGCUUUAGAAUUAUAGUUGCAACUGCCACUGAAGAAAUAUGUAGCUGCAUAUAUCUCCGAUGAGGAUUACAACAAUAAUUUUAUAGUAUAAAAAAAGUUUUAAAGCACUUUAAAAAUUUUAAAUACUUUAUAAUAAUAUAAAAAUAACAUUUUUAGCCACCACAUUACUAACCUAAGCCAUAGUUAGUAUUGUUAACCACAAAAGCUAUCAUCUGAUGGUCUUCAAAUUGAGAAUUAUAGCUCUAGCUAAUUGCAUAAUUAAUCCCCAAUGUUAUAUUUUUCAAAAAAUUUAAACUAAAAGAGUAUUAAUUAGUUGUUAAUAUGCGUCGAUUUUUUUUUCCUUUGAUUUCCAUUAAGGAAGAUGGGCGUGCUUGUUGAAAAACCUCGACUAAUUAAACUCUAUCUAAAAACCUUUAACUAAGUGGAUUAUUUUUAGUAAAAAUGACAAAAGACUUGAUAUUUGAUAUCUAAAAUUUCAAGUUUGAAGUUUAGUUGCUUUAUAUUUUUAACUAAAUUCAUUUUCAAAAGAAUUGAAUGAUUUAAUGAUAAAAGAAUAACUCUAUUAACACAGCAAUAUAUAUAGAGAGAGAGCGGGGAAGAGAGAGAUGUGCUGAGAUACUAUUAAUAGUAUUUACGCCUUUUUACUACUAUGUUUAUAAUCUUUGGAUUAAAAAUUGUAGAGUUGGAAUAAUAAUGGUCCUUUAGGGUUUUGUAGUGAUCCCCUAGGAGAAUUUACAGUGCAUAUACUUAGAAUCAAAUUUAUAGAUAUAAUACUAAAAGAGGGUAGCUAAACUGACUAGACUUUUGUUGACUAGUGCUGUGAAAACAUAUUUGAAUUUCAUAAUAAGGAGGAAAAAAAAAAAGAAAAUUCAAAGGGACUGGUACUCCAAUCAAUCCAUUUUAGGGACACAGAUGGAUCCAAAUUGAUGGAGCCCUUGUCUUGAUCUAUCACAAAUCGGGUGGUAAAUAGGAGCUAAAGAAAAAAAAACAUCUCAAAUCUGCUCUAAGUCAGCAAAAAAAGAUGGAGCAAGAGGCGAGAGGUCUUUUCUUAUCUUUGAUUCAUUCUGAAUUCUAAUCUGUCAAAUAUCUACUUCUGAGUCCUGAUCCAAUCAGUCAAGAAAAUGGGCCCCCCAGAAUCCACCCCAUUUGCAUCCUAAUCCGUAGGUUCGGGCUAUCAUUCUUUCUUUCUUUCUUUCUUUUUUCCCUAGUUUAAGCUUAUGACCAUUAGCCUUAUAAUCCAAAAAGGCAAACCAACAAACAGUGUUAUUAAUUACCUUAUCAUGCAUAAAAAGGAUAACAAAGAUUAUUUGACAUGAUGUGCAUAAAUCAAAUACACAUUAAAAUCACCGUUUUGAGCUUGUAAAUUCUCGCAUACAUUAUUCAAAAGAAACAUAGUUAUUUACACAAAGUAAAACUGAUAUAGAUUAAUUAGUCCUGAUUUGAAUGUACCUACAUUGACAAGAAUAAGACUCUUUUGGAAUUAAUGCUAUACCGAAAGCACCCGGCGUUCACAUGUGUGCAAAAACCAACAUUUUAAGCUCGUAAGUUUAGCAAAUGGUAUUAGGAUCGAACCAAAUAUAAUUGUUAUAUUUGGUUUAGAUUUAUAGUUAUCUAAAUUGAGAAUAAAUCCUAAUCUAAUUGGAAUUAGAUUUAAUUUGGCAUAUAUGGAUUAUAAUUAGGAGUAUAAUUCUAAUUGAAUUAGAAUUAGACUCUAAUUAGGAGACAUGUAUUAUAUAUAUAUAUGCUACGACCAAAUUAAGAUACCGCGACAAAAUUAAGAAGCCAUCCAUUAAUUAAGUCUACGUUGCUUGAUGGUCCGUACGGCUUGGAUGAUCUUUUUGUGAAGCCAUGCUUAAUUAAGCUCUUAAUUAAGUUCAAGCUCUUCAUGCUUCUUUCGGGCUGGUGAUCACGGCGGCUCGGGUUGGUGAUCACGGCGGCUCAAAUUAAUUCAUGCAUGUUGGUAGUCCGUACCAUCAAGGAGCCGCGGCCGGUUAACACAACAUGCUAAUUAAUUAAGGAUCGGAGCAUGUUGUUGGUCUGUACGGAUGGGUGAGAGAGAAGUCCUUCGUUUGGAGGUUCUUGUUGCGGCGUUUCCGAUCUAAUUAAGUUUUGGUCUUUCGAGAGAUUUUCUUUGUACUCCGUCUUUUCGAUAUUAAUAAAUUAUUUAUUCCGUCUUCGCCAGUGGACGUAGGCCGUUGGUCGAACCACGUAAAUAUCGGUGUGCUCUUUUCGCUUAUAUUUUCUUUUCUUGCAUUAAAUUAUUUUCUGGAUCUAUUUUUCGUCGUUCCGAUUUUAACAAUAAUAGAUAUCAAAAUAAAAUAUUCAAUAAUAACUUCUUCGAUAUAAAAAUAUUUUUCUAUAAUUAAAAGUUAUAAAUUUAAUAUUACCCCUCAAAAAGUUUUGAAGAUUUAUUAAAAAAAAAAAUUGAAAGCCAAAUAUAGUAUUCAUUUGCUAAAUCACUCACUUUCAAAUACUAUAUAUAUAUAAUUAACAAGAUGUUUUUUUUUAGAGAGAGAGAGAUAGGUAAGCAUGCUAUCUGUUUCAUUUAUUUUAUUUAAAAAUAAAUUUAGCUGGAAAUAUAAAUUAAUUAUGAUUCAAAUUUGGGACCUCGAAUACCAACCGGUAAAUCUUUUGCCGCGUGCGCUUGAAACGGUCGGUAUUACAUCAUUUAACCACUAGUACAAGUGAACAAUGCGGAUAAGAAUAGUCACGAAACAUCAUUAUUUCGCAAUCCCAUCCACUGUAGAGACACUGAUUAUUGACAUAUAUAUGAUAUGAUGUUAAACUCCAACCAUAAUCAACUCACAAGAAGACAAAGGAGAAAUUAAUGCUUGAUGCAUCCCUAAAGCCUCACAAUCGACUCAAAAGUUGAACACACUAACAGAGUUUACAAAGACGCUAGUAACGUCGAAAUACCAUCCAACGAUAUGUUUCAGAUGGAUCCAUUAACGGUGCUAAUUUGUCCACCAAUCCUCAUAAGCAGUCACAUACAACGAUAUUUAUUUACGAUGGUAUAAUGAAUCCUCAGUUUUGGCGCUAUCAGAGACGAGUUGUUUUCUGUUUUCCUUUUUUAUUGUAAUUUCUCUAUCUCUCGCUCUCUCCACCGAUUUGGACAGAAAAAGAAUUGAGCCAUUUUUUUCAAUCCAAUCUAAUUCAUCUCUCUUUUAUUAUAAGAAUUUAAAAUAUAUAAUUUCUUAUACAUAACUGUUGAAUACUUUCCUUAUAUAUGUUACAUAUAAAUUAUGGUAGUAUUGGCCACUUAAAUAUAGGUUGUAUAAUAAAAAAUGAAAGAGAGAUCGUUGGAGUUUAAGUUAAUUUUUUUUUUUAAUAAAUUUAGUCGUAAGAAUUGCAUGAAAUAUACUAACUAAGUUUGUAAAGUUAAACAACAUAUUCAAAUUUUGAAGUUAAAAUACUAUCGACUGAAUCAAAUCUAACAUAUUGAAAGGUUACAAACUAAAAAAAAAAAAUUGAAAAAUUGAAUAGCUUAUUCAAAAUAGUUUAUAAUUCAAUAAAGUUCUUUAUGCUUUUACUUUGAUUUUAAUAUUAAACUUCAAUGUCAUAUUUAUAGUGUGAUGAGCGAUCAACUUCAUAUUUAAAAUUUUUUGCGGUAUCCAAAAUAUGAUUAGUCGACUUUUAAUUUUAACAAGUAGGCAUUCUAAAAUUUAUUAGAUAGUUUAACUGGUUCUUUUCUCGAAUGAAAUUACUAAUUGAAUAAUCUAAUAAGACAUGUAGCAUUUUAGCUUUGCUGCUAUUAAUAUUUUACACUCUAGUCCCUCCUUCAAAUCUCUUUUAUACUCGCUUGUCUCAUCAACUUUCUCUUGUUUACACACUAGAAACCCAGUAAUAAGGGUUUUAUAUAGUAUAAGAUGUACAUCCGAUAACAAGUGUAGUGUACGGCUAUAGUUACUUUUUAGGAUUAACGGAAUGCACUUUAUUAGUACAUGAUUCUAGCAUGACAUCACGCCUACGAAGAUCAACAAUGAACAGAUCCGGCAAUUAAUAGUGGCUUAACAAUAAUCUAUCUAUUAACUAUAUAUUAAUCCCUAAUACAAUAGCUGAUGUGGCAAAACCUCAAUUUUUAAAAAUUUUUUUGUUUUUUAAUAGUGAAUUUGUCCCCUCAUCUACCCCCUAUAAUUUAACCUCCUACAAUUUAAUUUUUUCUUUUAGUUUAGUGUGAUAUUAUUAGAAACGUUUCAUUUUAGCAGCUUUUAUUAUUACUAGUUGAAUGUACGUGCAAAUGCAUGUAACAAUUAAUUAUUAUAAUAUAUUUCAAACCAAUAUAAAUGUGUACAUAAUAUAAAUCCAAAAUUUUAUAAUAAAAACUAUAUUUAUAAAUUAAUAUAUUAUAUUUUAUUAGAAAAUAUUUACAAUAUCCUAUGUGUUCUUUUUUUUAUAUACAUCGAACAUUUUUAUAUACUUUUUGAUUUUUGAUGAAUUAAAUUUAAAUAUGUGUUUUAAACUAAAAGCAUCAAAAUUUAAUUUAUAUUUAUUUUCAAAUUUUAAAAUUUAAGAUUGAUCCACUGUAAUAAAAAAAUUAAUUGUUAAUUUAAAUUUGAUAUCAAAAAUUAAAUUUAAUUCAUAAUUUAAACUCAAAUUUUAAUGUAAAAUAGAUAAAUAGGAAUGCUUUUUUUUUACAAAUUGAUCAUAACAGUUUGUUUUUAUUUGAGGUAUUUUUUAACAAGUUGAUUAUAAUCGUUCGUAGGAUUGAAUUUAUAGAUGGAUAGGAAUGCUAUUUUGUAGAGAAUAGAUUUUUAUAUAGUAGAGAUUUAAUAAAUUGAUCAUAACCGUUCUUAUUGAUUUGAGAUAUUUUUAACAAAUUAAUCAUAACCAUUCGUAAGGAAAAUAAUUUUUUUUACAGAUUAAUCAUAACCGUUUGUUUUUAUUUGAGAUAUUUUUAACAUAUUAAUCAUAACCAUUCGUAGGUAAUAUUAUUUUAUUCCUUUUUGGAUUCCGUCUGUCAUUGUCGGAAUUCCUAUACGCUUUUAUAUAUAGUAUAGAUAAUUUUAUAAGUGGCCUUUCAACUUUCUAUAUUAGGUUAAAUAUAAUUAGCUAAUUCAGUUAAUUAAUAAUCUUUAUUAUCCAUCAAAUUUUUUUUUUUUCUAUAACUGAUAUUGCCAUUAUCAUUCAUUUUUCUAUUUUUAUUACUGUCCUAUUUGACCUGCAUGAGUAUCUAACAAUCACUAAAAGUAUUGAUCUAACUUUUCUAUAUUAGUAUUCUAAUUUUAAUAUCCAAUUUAACCCUUUUCAAAUUCCAAGCAUUUUGUAACCUAAAUUAAUUACUGUUUCUUAUUUAUUACAACUUAAAAUUUUUAGUUGAGAAUAUUAAAAAGUUUGCUAACAGAUAAUACUAAUAGUCUUUGUUUUUAAAAUUUUUCAUGUGCUAUAGCUAUAAAGUCUUCCCCAAAUUAGAAAAGUGUUUUACCAUCAUGUAUUUUCAUGCAAAACUGCUCAACACUCUAUAGGAGCAAUAAAUCACACUAUGGUAAGUUUCAGCAUAUUGAUAAUAUACUAUUUAAAUAAAUUUUUUAACAAAAUUAUGGCAAAGCUUAUAUUUUUUUUCUUUUUACAUAUAUAUUUAGAGUUCUCUCAGCUCUUGAAUAAAAAGUUAGCAUUUAAUCAGUUUUUUUUUUAGAAUAUAUGUUGAAAACUGUUUAUGGUAAUAAAACCAUAAAUUUAUUCUAAAAUAUGCAUCAAAAUAAAAUUUUGAUAAUAUAAUAAAUAAUUUAAAAUUUUUUUAUUAUCUCAUAUUUUAUUUUGCAAUAUUAGUUUUUAAAUACUCUAUCAACUAUAUAAUAUUAUAUGCGUUGUAUGAAAAUUAGUACGUAUCAAGUGCAAAUAAAUAAUUUUUCGUUCUUUUAGAAGUAGCAGGUUACCCAUUAACCAAUGAAGGAUGCCAUAUAACUAUUAAUAUUUUGAAUGUGUUCAGUGCAUCAUAAAUUUACUUUAAGAUAUAAAUCAAAAAUAAAAUUUUGACGGUAUAAUAAAUUAUUUGAAUAUUUUUUAAUAACUGUAGAUGACUGACUAAAAUUUUAUUUAACCGCCGCGAAGCAUGGGUCAUAUAUUAUAUACAUAGAUAUAUAAAUGUAUAACUCUGACAUCUUUUGUCGUUUCUCUUUUCUACGCCUCUUUUUAUUUCUUUCUUCAUUUCCUCACCAUAUUUUUUUGUAUAUUUAUAAUUUCAAACUACCAUCGAUGAUCAACAAUAAUAAAAAAAAUUAUUUCGAUAAUAUUUACCCGCUGCAUCGUGCUUUUAACUAUACUAGUUAAGAAAUAAUACCCAAGACAAGAAGCUAUAUAAUAUCGAGAACAUACUUAAUUCAGUACAGCACUCAAACACAUUAAAUAGGUAACUACUUGCCAAAGCAAAAUAACCAACCACAUGGCAAAACAUAGCAUUUAUCUCAGAUGUGAGAAAUGAACACGACUGAUCAUGAGAACCUAAAGACCUACCCUCUAUUGAUUAGUUGGCUAAUCCAACAAAGCACUCAGCCGCCCAUAGGUUCCUGUCCGUCCAUUCUCCUAGGACAGCUCAUAAACUAUUUCAUCAUGUUUCAUAGAUGUGAGAUCGACACUGCCGCACCAAAAUUUUGCAAGUUUCAUAGAACAAAAAAUUGUUGGUGAAUUAGAAAGUGGCAAAUCAUCCGACUUUGAGCGCAACGACUGUGAGAUGUAAUCUACCAUGGGUAAUAAUUGCGGCACGUGAUGUUGAAAGAGUUUGAAUAAGUUCCUCAGGCAUCUGCGCAAGAGGACGAAUCAGAACAUAUCCAACCAUAAAUGGAAAUCAGAACAUAUCCAACCAUAAAUGAGACGUUUUUAACCAGAACAAACUAUACGAAACGCAAUAAUUACAAUAACAUUUCAAGAUAAGAGAGUAACAAACAAUCAUCAUCUUACUAUCCCUGAAGGUGUAGCUCUAAUUAGUAGAUCUGACAAAUUGGCAUCAUAAAUAAAUCAGAAAGCACAGCAAACAGCUUUGAAGAACAAACUGAACCAUAAAUAUCUAUUUGGCAUUUGAAUGCUGCUUGUACACAAAAAGAAGCAACAAAUGCUCCUUGUACACAAAAAGAAGCAACAAAAUUAACCUUCGUUGAAAUAAAAAUGAUGGAUAGCAGGUCUAUGACCUAUGUUUGAUAGAUAGCAGCCGAGCAGCUCAAACAAUCAAAUUCACUAAUGGCAAGACAAAAGGGGGUUAAAAAAAAAGAGAGUAGAAUUUCACUAAUUAAGAAAGUAAAGAACUAUACAGUAACGUGUCGGGGAAGAAAAUGCAUAGAUGUUAAUUCAGCUUCAAAUCUUUUCACAGCCCCAUGCCAUGGAGGAAGCGUAAUUAACCACCAGCUUCCCGUCAAACCCAAAAUUCUGUCAUGUUCAAUAGAACAACAUUAAUUUUGUCAUUUUGCCAACCUAGAAAGAAUAUUCUCAGUUCAAGAAUUAUUUUUCAAAAUGGUACUAGGUUAUCUGCUAUUUAAUAUACCAGGAUUUUAAACUGGCCAUUAAUUUUACUUUCAUUGGAGGAACAGCAGAACACCGAAAAAUAAAUGACCCGGCAGAGCUAACAGCAGAAGGAUUUGUUUUGCUAUAAGCUCACAAAGACUAAAGUUCAUGGUGGACAGUGGUAUAUUUUAAAAGCACAGGUCACAAAAAAUAAAUAGGAGAAAAAAGAACAAUUUCAAGGAAGUGGUUACAUGGAGUGCACGUGCCACAGAGAGUUAAGAGUAGAAGUGGGACGCUAACACAUACUACAUAAAAUUGAUCUUUGAGACACGUAGUAGAAUAAUGCCGUCUACUUGAUCUUGAAGAUGUAAAAAAGUAAAUGAACCGAAUAUUUAAGUUUUAAAGCACUUGUAUCUAAAGAUCAAAAGGUUUCGAAAUUGCCAAUCUCAAUUGUUGUCACGAAGGGUUUGGUUGAUCAAUACGCCAAGCUAAAUUGUGGUUACUAGGGGUUUGGUUGAUCAAUACACCAAUCUCAAUUGUGGUUAAGAGGAGUUUGGGUGAUCAAUACUUCAGAAGAAUUCCAAAUAGUUUUUUUGCCAAAAGGCCCAGACUAACAUCAACGGGCUCAUUUGUCAAUAAUAACCAUCAUACAUUAUUUCUUCUUUUUUUUUUUUUUGUAAUCUGUUUUACCAAGUAAUGCAUGGGAAAAGAACAAUACACAUAAUCCUUCAUGAUUAAAAUUGGCUAAAUAGUUCAAAAACAUAAAGUAACAUAGUCAUUCCUAAGAGGCAAACUACAUAAUCACAAUCCAAAUAGCUUAUCUGCAUCAUUUAUCAUGAUCAAAAUAAUGUUAAAUAGACAGAAGUGAAAUUCAAAGUUCUUUGACAAUGUUUCGACAAGGCAUAAGUUUUCAUCUGAACCUAGUUAAUCAUCAAAUUGGAUGUAGGGGUGUAAAACGGGCCGGGCCGCUCGGCCCGACACGACUGCGGGUUGGGCCGUGGCCCGGCAUGGCUCCUGUAGCAUCCAUGCCGGGCCGGGCCGGCCCGGCUCUUCGGGUCGUGCUGGGCCUCCCUUCUUGGGCCUGACAGCCCGACCUAGCACGGCCGGGCCGAAGGGAAGUCCGUGGCCUGGCAUGGCACGACCCGCUUAGGCCGUGCCAUCCGGGCCAGCACGGCCCGAACCCCAAGGCCCAAGGCUAUUGCCUUGGGCUUUGGGGUUGGAUCUCCUGGGGAGAAGGGCCAAGGAGAUCUCCUCCCAAGGUCUGCCAUAGGAAACCUUGGGAGGAGGUUUUUGAUUCAACGAACCAAACAAUUUGGUCCGUUGGACCAAAAACACUCCAAUUUUUUUUCAAAAAAAAAUUAUAUAUUUUUUUAUAAAAUUCAAAUAUUUGUUAUAUUAUAAUUAUUUUUAUAAAUUUUAAAUUUUUAAAUAAAAAAUUAUAUGUUUAUAUUUUAAAUUUAAUAUAUUUUUUAAAGAAAUAAAGAAAUAAAAUUCUUUAGGGGCCGGCACGGCCUGGGCCUUUCGGGCCGAAGGGCCGUGCUGGGCCAUAGAGUUGGCAGCUCUGGCCAGGCACGGCCCAGCCCGGAUUUGAAACUGGGCCGGGCUGGGCCGGCCCCUAGCCCGAAUCAGCAUGAAAAAUAUGGGUUGUGCCGCAUUACACCCCUAAUUGGAUGUUUUAUGUGAGUACAUACAAACUAACUACGAUCAACAAAUUAGUUGCUCACUAAGAAUAAAAAGUAUUAAGUAGUGUAUUCCAUAUUUUUGUGUAUGCAUGUUGAGCAAAAGCCUGUAUGUAGGGGUAUACAAAAUUGCAUACACCAGUAACAAGAAAACUUACAUUGUAAAGAUCGAUCACCAAUUCGUCUGGAUUUGGGGAAAAAGCACUAUUGAUAUACACAAACUGUCAAAGGACACAAAAAGAACAUUAGUAGCUAAGCAUUUAAAAGUACAACGAAUAACCUAAGUGAUUUUAUGAAUAAGUUUUAUACCAAUGUAUCCCGAUGAAGUUGGCGACGAAGAAACUCGAUGACCUUUCAAAACUUGUCAAUUCCAGCAACCCGAAAGAAAAAAAUAGUAAAAUCAUUUUGAAGAAUAACCUCUGGUUUGAGAAAUGUCUUUUCCUUUAAAUGUGAAAACAGUAUUAUCUACACAGUUUGGCCUUGUGAAAUCUCUCACAGAAGUUAAACCAAAGUGACUGGAUUUAUCAAAUCCAUCUGCCUAAUGUUUAUGGACAGAUGUGAUCAGCUCCACCUUGGGGAUAUCUUGCGUACAACACUCAAAUAGGCUGGGCAAAGCGAUCAAGGUAGCCACCUAGGUAAAUUCCAUAGUCAUCAUGUAUAGGCCCCCAACAAACACCCCCCACCAAGCGGCAUGGUCGCCUAGGUAAAUUCCAUAGUCAUUAUGUAUAGGCCCCCAAUUGCGCACCCCAACAAAACAAGGUAAAUUCCAUAGUCAUAUUGUAUAGCGCACCCCCACAAACACCACAUACCCCCACCCCGCCCCUACCCAAAAAAAGAAAAAACGACUCUCUAGCUCUUAGGCCUAAUAUAGAAAAGUGAUGGCUAAAAGCAUUAUUUUAUACUAUGGAAGAACAAAAAAAAAUUCAAAAGCGCUAGCAAUCUUCCCUUCUUCAAUGCUCUAAAAUUGGGGUUGCAACCACCACCAGAGAAGCACGUAGCCACAUGCUUCUCUAGUGGCGGUUACACCUGCAAUUACGUAGUAUACAAGAAGGAGAUAUUGAAUGCUCUUCUUGAAAUUUUAGGGCUUUCAAAAAUGAUACUUUUAGCCACAACAUACCAAACUAGGCCUUAGUGUUAAAUAUAAAAAAUAUUUAAACACCGUUCUCUAACAGCUUAAGGUUUUAGAGAAUAACGGUUGUUUCGUAUUAUUUAAUAUGGUUUCAACCAGAAAGUCCUGAAUUCGGGUCACACUAUGCUCCUAGCAUUAUUAAUUUCCUCCCAUUAAUUUAAGUCCACGUUAUGGACCUACAAAAAGUCUCGAGCCUAAAGGUGAGGGGAAAUGUUAAAUAUAAAAAUAUUUAAACACCAUUCUCUAACAGCAGCUAAAGUUUUUAAAAAACAAUAGUUGUUUCGUAUUAUUUAACACUUGGUACUUAGCGUCAUGGGCAAGGCAAGUGACAACGAACUAAAAUGUAAACAAAAACGGAGGCAAAAAGGAAAAGAAAAAAAAAAGAGAGCAGGGAAUGACCAGAUAUUACACAUUUUUGAGAGAAAAGUUAGACAGUAAGUUAGAGCUAAUGAAUAACAGAGCUCUAGGUUAUAAUUACUAGACCAACUUUAAUCAGGUCUGCUUGAACAUCCCUAAAUUGUAACGAAAGUAUCACCAACAAAAAAACCACAAUAUAUGCUUCAAGGAUGAAACUCAAAAAAUGAUUUAUCAGAAAUUCAUGGAGACGAUCAAUCGUUAGCAGAGAAAUUAUAAUCCUUGGUAAUCAUUUUUCUAUCUUAACGUAUACUAAGAAUUCAUGCGGCUCAAUUCAGCUCCUUCAAAGUAUCGGUUUACAUUUGAAUCUUCAAAAUUUGGCUCAUCUCCAAAAAGUGCCAUCUCGAAGGCCUCGACUAUGAGAUAGACCUCUCAACAUCCAUAUAUUCAAACAGUUCAAAUAGAAAGUAGUUCUCUACAUAUGUAUAACAUUUUGGACCUUUGGCAAAAUGAACUUUAGUAGUACAUGGUUAUAUUGAAGGAGAGAUUACAACAGGGCUAUACUGUUUUCAUUUUCUUGAGACGGAUGAAAAUAAUGAUAAUCCAUAACACCCUUCUGAACUCACAAUUUGGCAUUUAAACCUGAACAACUUUUCACCACUAAUAUGAUUACUCUUAAUGAAAUUUCUUUUGGCUAGUGGUAAAAGUCGAAAACUAAAAUGCUAGUAUAUUUCCCCAUGAUUAAUGUCACAUGCAAACUGCAAACUAAUGUUGCAAGUUUCGACACGAUUUUUUUUGGGCCGAAAUCUGAAUUUUGACCGCCUUUCAGUGAUCUUCUGGUUCAGCACUCCGUUUGAAGCAAUUAUACACUUUCUAGUUGAGAUUGUGUCUGUGUGCAGAACUUGAGACUACUACAUUUUAUAUAAGCAAAAAUUAUCAAUCAGACAAAGAUACAUUCUAAGGACAAAAUGAUUCCUCAAAAGAAUGCAAGCAUUGCUAGACCGUCUUUUGACGAUUUGUCACAAAUCCUACAAUCCUGCUUAAAGACCAGCACUCGACACCCGCUAAGGCUUAGUUCGGUAUUGCCGUGGCUAAAAUGCAUUUGCUUCAUGCUUUGGAAGACCCAAGAAACUGAAAACCGCUUUCAGUUUUUCCUCCUCCAAUGCAAUAAAAUUACAGCAGUAAUGCCGCCGAACAGUAGUUACACGCUUUUGCGGCGGCAGUUGCUACCACAAUAUUAUACCACUGCAAGGAGAAGGAUUUGAAGUGCUGUAGGAUAAUGCGGACCUUCCAAAGAAUAAAAACAGGUGCUUUUGGAAAGGCAAUAACGAACUAGGCCUAAAGCACAAAAGCAGGAGCAUUUUGGAAACGCAAUCCCAAUCCCAAACUAGGUCUAAUUCUUCGAAUCCCAGAAAAUGCUCCCUGCAUCCAUAAACUCUCUAUUAGAGUCUACAAUAUAUCACAUUGAUGAUUCUACAUUCAUUUUCAACAUUUUUUUUAAGCAAAAUUUCACCUCCACAUGCAUCCUUCAAAAUCUACUUUCCUUAGAUCAAAACU
rnacentral:lncRNA from 1 species